rnacentral:lncRNA from 1 species
UUCCCUUCUCCUUUCCCUUCUCCUUUCCUUCCUCCAUUCCUCUUCUCCUUCCCGUUCGCAGCCCCGCCGCAAACCGUCGCCUCCCUUCCUUCCAUUUUCUUCUUCCGUCCGUAGCCCCGCCGCAAACCGUCGCGUCUCCCCUACUGAAGCCGAGCGCCGCGACCCUUCUCCUCUUCUCUUCAGUUCGCAAAGCAGCCGUACGCGUCCAGAUCUGCCGCCGUCCAGAUCUGCACCGCAAGACCGCACCGUUGUCCUUCCGCCGCUGCCCGGUCCAGAUUUGCGUCGCCGUGCACAGCCUCACCGCCGCUGCAACCGUUUCCGCGUCUUGUUCUGUCUCCGUCGAAGCCGAGCCACCGUGUGAAGCAGUAACCGCCACGUCCGCCGCUCACAACCGCCGUCCAAGCCAGCCGCCGCCGAUCCCUUCUCCUCCGUUGUCUGCACUGCCGCGCGACUCUCCGGCCGUCUGUAUACGGUCUCUCCGUCGCACGUCGUCUCUUCGCAAAGCUACUGCUCGAUUUCUUUCGCGAAGAUUUGGGUAAGUUGUAAAAAGAUUCACAUUGGGUUGAAUUUAAAUGAUGGAUGCGUUGAAGAGAAUUAUUGAGAAAUUGUCUUAAUGUUUAGGUUCGUUCUUCAUAGACUUCAACGUGGUUAAGGAGCUUAACAAAUUUGAAAGUAAGGGAUUUUCUACUGUACUCACUUAUGACUGUGGAUUGUAUGUGUUAAAUGUAUACUGUGGAUUGACUGAAAAUAUAUAUGAAUGCAUAUGAAUUGAAGUAGACUUGACGUCGAAUGUAUAUCGUGAUUGUCAUGGAAUAUAUAUAUAAGUGUGUGUAUGUGGACAGGACGAAGAUUGUAGAUUGUGUUUGUAUGAGAUGCAGAUGUGAAUCUUGUGAUUUUCGUUUGGAUUGGGUGUACGUUACGUUAAAGUAUGACUGUGUGCUGAUGAACUGAGGGGUGCAUUGACUGUAUAGUUGAUUGACUGAUGUAUUAACAUAUUAUUGACAGACAUAUGACUGUAGUAAAAUAAGUUGACUGUUAGGACGUUGAAAGAAAGAACUUUGUGACUUGAAGUAACUGAAAGAUUGAUUGAAUGGAAUGAGGGGAAAAUUAUUAGUUUUAUUGGGAUGUAUACCUUGUAGGUGUCCCUCGGGAUCACCAAUUUAUUUUGCACCUUCGGGAGCAUUAGACUGAUAUGUGUUUCUGCAGAACACUAGACUGAUAUGUACGUCCCUCGGGGCGUUAGACUGAGAUGUGUAUCCUACGGGAUCACAAGACUGUGACUGUACAGGGUAUCCCAAUAGAUCGUUAAUAAUUUAUUUUCCCCUGACGGGACCAGUAGAGGGUCUUUUACUGAGUAUUUGAAUAUUCACCCUUGUUAUGUUUAAUUUUCAGGCAAAGGUAAUAAGGGCGGCAAACCGUCGAGGGGCAGGAGGGAAGCGUGAUGCCAAGGAAACGUGUUUUUGCUUCCGCUUAUGGGUUCUUGCGAGGUUUAAGAUGAAUUGAAAGUUUGCUUACAAAUGUUUAUUGUAAAUAAUAUUGUUUUUAUGUUUUCUUAAAUGUUUGAAAUUCAGGCCUGACUUAAAGAUGUUUUUGAACUAGUUUACAUUUCAUUUUAUAUUAAUCAAAGUCUUUUAUUUGUUAAAAAUUAACGACCUUGAUUUACUUAGAAAAGUUGGGUCGUUACAGUUAUGAUAAAUUUGAAUACAAAUUUAUAAAAUAAUGUAAUAAGAAGUUCAAAUGAUGGAGAAGAAUAGCAAAAAAAAAAAAAGCUGUCGGCGAUGGAGAAGAUAAUGUAAUGGCUGCCAGAGAGAGUGAACAAUUAGGUUAAGUUAUAUUUUUAGAAAGAAUAAUUAAAUAGUUUAUUACAAAAUAAAGUAAAAUUACAAUUAUUAUAAUAUACUCUGAUUUAUAAUUAAUUUAAAAGAUACUUGAAAUUUAUUAACAUAUUAAGGUCUUUUGUCUAAAAGUUUCAACUAAUAAUAAUGAUAGUUCUCAUUAACCAAUUGACAAAUGAUCGAUAUUGUCAAAUGAUCGAUAUUGUCAAAUGAUCGAUAUGUGCAAGUGCACAUUUCAAUUAUAAUAUAGUAAAACGUUCUUAGAGAUCGAGCUAGUAUCCUUUUAAGAGGGAUCAAAUUAACAAAUUAAUUUAUUGAUUUAGGAUUAGGAUGUGUUUUAAGGAUAAAAACAAUGAUUAGAAACUAAUAAAAAGAUCCCUAAAAGACAAAUAUGAAAUCUCAAAGAAUAAAAAAUGCUCGAAAAUUGUAUUUGAUUUCAUUGUUCAAUCCAUAAAAUCAUGAUGUGUAUAGGUUAUAUGAAAACUAGUGUCAGUAUGUGUUCAGAUCAAGUUGUUGACUUUUGAAAAGAAUAUCUUUCCAUUCAAACAUAAUUGUUCCUAAUCUAUUCCAACUAAGUUAAAUAUUAUGGUAUUAAACAUAUACAUUGGCUAUGAAGUGCAAUUUCUUAUAUUAUAAUAUUUAAAAGAUUUAAAUUUAAAAAUAAAAAUAAGUAAUCUCAAGUCCAAUAUUGGACCCGUGGGGCUUAGCCCAUCAAUUUAAAAAUUCAAAAUGCACACUCAACGGUCACAUUUUCCUAGGAUCAUCCUAUUUAAUGCCCUUCUACUUGUCACUCCAUCGAAAUCCUUCAUUUCUUGUGGCACCGUCUAAAAUUUGCUUCGAUUGAAGAAAUUUUGACGCCCAUGACAGCGUUGAAAUUUCUUCAAUGCAAACAAAUUUUUUAUCUUCCUUUCAUCGAGGAUUUUCAUACCAUGUGAAGGAGAGAUCAGUUCCAUCAGUUCCAAGUCGUUCGUGAGUCAUCUUCUUUCCUGUGUAGUUUUCAUCUCUUGAUUUUGGAUUGCUUGUUCAAGAUUUAUUUUCGAAUUUUGGAUUGUUUGCUAUUCGGAUAGGCAGAAGGUUUGCACGAUGAUAGAUCUGGAGUACCUGAAUCGUUUAUUGAUUCUGUAGUUUAAUCUUAUGAUUUUGGUGAUUUCGAAGCGUACAAUAUAAUCGUACUGUGUUAUGAAGUAAAUAAGAUUUUGUAGGGUUUUUGAAAGUUAAUUUAGAUAUUUCCUGCAUUUUAGUCUUGAUAGAUCUGGGGUACCUGAACCGUUCAGGUUUGCAUGCUGUGAUUGUGUUGUUCUUUUUUGAUUUUGGAGAGAGUCCUUGGGUAAUUUUGAGGAUUGUUCUUUUUUUAGUUUUUUUUUGCAUGCAUUCAAACACACGCAUGGUUUUUAAACUGGGGUUCUUGAAUAUUUGUUGGUUUUCUCGAAUAUUUGCCGGUUUUUUUUUCUCAGAAGAAUUGAUCUUAUAUUUGUGUAUCUCUCUGUGCAACUUUAAUAUAAAGUUAUUAAGGAAGAAGAGAAAGGAGGAAGAAGGGAGAGAGAAAAGGUAGAAACGACCUAAUAGUAGGCAUGAGUAUUAAGAUGCAGCAGAGCCACCACUUAGUGGCGCUAAGGUUUAAUGAGCAAAUUGACAGUAGAAAAGGGUCCACAUCCAUACCUAAGUUACUAUUGCUCUGGGUUCUGUUGGUGGCAUUCAUUAGUAUGUUAAACUACAAAGAAAUGGAUGGGUGGUGUUAACAAAGUUAGAAGAAAGUAAGUUCUGGGAAGUAUGUGUGACCAGACGACAAAGAUGCUUCUUCAGUGUCAGUGUCAAACUAUGUCCAGGCUUUGGCCAUUCUCAUUUCCAUUUCCAGUACUUCAAAAUCGUAUCAGCAAUUGAUCAGGAAAAUGUGUUUCGAUUUCUGUCUUUUAUUAGUCUCGGUUAGUUAGGCUUAAGAGUAAGGGAUAUAAUUCAUUUUUCUUGUUUCAGCUAGAAAUUACGUCGAUGUCUUGAUUUUUAGUUUUUUUAGGGCUGUUUGGUUGUUUUUUUAGGGUGUUUGCCUAAGAAGUAAGGGCUAGUGAAAGAGAAGCAUUUGAUUGUCCUACAAGUAUCUGAAUCGCCAAUGAAAGCAGAGGUUAUUUCCUCUGAAUUUCCACGAAUUGUUCAGGUUUGGAUUCUGUGAUUCUGUGAUUGUGUUGUUCUGUUGUUCUCUUUUUUAUUUUGGAGUGUUCUAGGAAAUUUUGAGGUUUGUUAUUUUUUAGUUUUUUUGGCUUGCCUUUAAUCACGCUCGUUUGGGAAUAGACAGGCUUCAGAGAAUGAAUCUCCUUUUUAAGGGUUCGUUGGGGAGCGAAGUGACCAUAUGGCAUCCCUUUCUGCACCUGCUCAGUCUCUCUCUUGCCUUUUUCAUACUACAUAUUUUUGUUUCUCAAUUUAGUGUCAGUGUCAACCAUGUCUAUGCUUUGGCCAUUCUCAUUUCCACUUUCCACUACUCUAAAAAUGUAUCUGCAAUUGAUCAGGUAAAAGUGUUUCAAUUCUCUGUCUUUGGUUCAUCUCCGUUAGUUAGUCUUAAGAGUAAGGGAGAUAAUUCGUUUUUCUUGUUUCCCUCCAUGUAUUGAUUUUUAGUUUUUUAGGGAUGCUUGGUUGGUUUGAAUGCACGAAACAUUUGCUGGUACACGAUUCAAACAGCUUGCCCAGUCAUGUUUUUCUAUUUUUUUUUAAUAUUUUGGAAUUUUGCAUGUGUGAUUUCUGUAUAUAUUAUUCUUGCCCUUUUCCUUUAUCAUCAUUUAUUUUGAUUUUGGAGAGGUCUCUUGGUUAUUUGUUAUUUGCACAUAUACAAGGGUUGAAAAUUUCAAUCCCACCUCUCUUUUAUAUUACAUUCAUUUAGUUUUGGCUGUUAUCUAAUUGAACUAUUUGAUCAUCAAAUAAUUGUGUUACCUUUUCUUCUAGAUGUUUAGAUUCAUUUUUCUCACUCUUUUAGUUUUCUUAAUGUGUGACAGUCUUUGUUUUUUAUUGAACUAUUGUGUGGCAGUCUUUAUUUAUUGGUUAUCUUUAGUUUCACUAUUGUUCUUUUUUUAAUGUUUUCUUAGUUUUUAAUAAGUGUGACAAAAUAUGAAUUAAUUUUUUUCUUUGAACAAAUGUGGAAUUUAUUUUCUUUUAAUGUAGUUGUGUCCCCAAUAAAUUUAUUUUGGCGAUUUAACAAUCCAUCAUGUUCUUUUUCAUUUUUCUGUUGUAUUUUCUUCGGUUCUUUGUUGUGGUAUGUCUAUUUUUGAGACAUUCUUAAUUUAGUUUUAUUUCUUUUAGCUUCCUGCAUCAUUUUGUAUUAUGGAUUGUUAUGAAAUUUUGAGAUUAUGCUUUAUUUUGUUUUUUGGUCCUUUGCUGUGAUGUCUUUUGAUUAUUUCUUUUGAGUGAACAGUUCAUGUAAGAUUUUCUGCAUGAGAAUAAAUUGAUUAUUUAAUUUGGUCAAAGAAGUUCAAAAUUUACAUGUGAAAUUUACACUCAGUGGCUGUAAGGUUUAAUGAGAAAAUUGGAAGUAGAAAAGAGUCCACAUUAAUUCAUUCAGCCAAGAGGGCUUGGCAUCCUAAGUUUGCUCUGGGUUCUGUUGGUGGCAUUCAUCAAUAUGUUAAUCUAUUAGGGAAUGUAUGGUUAUAACAAAGUAAGAAGAAUGGAAGUUCUGGGGGAGUAUUUGUGACAAGAGGGCAAGGAUGCUUCUGCAUCAAUUUAGUGUUAGUCAAUCAUGUCUAUGCUUUGGCCCUUCUCAUUCCACUUUCCACUACUACAAAAAUGUAUCUGCAAUUGAUCAUGUAAAAGUGUUUCAAUUUUCUGUCUUAGGUUCAUCUCAGUUAGUUAGUCUUAAGAGUAAGGGAGAUAAUUCAUUUUUCUUGUUUCAGCUAGAUGUUACCCUCCAUGUCCUGAUUUUUAAUUUGGCUUCCUAAGUGUGCUCUAGGUUCUGUUGGUGGCAUUCAUCAGUAUGUUAAUCUACAGGUGAAUCUAUAGUUAUAACAUAGUAAGAAGAAUGGAAGUUCUUGGGGAGUUUGUGUGACAAGAGGGCAAGGAUGCUUCUGCAUUAAUUUAGUAUCAGUGUCAACCAUGUUUAUGCUUUGGCCAUUCUCAUUUCCACUUUCCACUACUCCAAAAAUGUAUUAUCUGCAAUUGAUCAGGUAAAAGUGUUUCAAUUUUCUGUCUUUGGUUCAUCUCAGUUAGUUAGUCUUAAGAGUAAGGGAGAUAAUUCGUUUUUCUUGUUUCAGCUAGAUAUUACUCUCCAUGUCUUGAUUUUUAGUUUUUUAGGGGUGCUUGGUUGGUUUGAAUGCAGGAAACUUUUGCUGGUACACGUUAUUUAAACAGCUUUCCAUGUCAGGUUUUUCUAUUAUUUUUCUUUAAUAUUUUGGAACAUGUGUAAUUUCUGUAUAUAUUAUUCUUGCCGUUUUCCUUUUUCAUCAUUUAUUUUGAUUUUGGAGAGGGUCUCUUGGUAACUUGACUUUUCUUUUAGUUUUGACUGUUAUCUAAUUGAACUAUUUGAUUAUCAAAUAAUUGUGUUACUUUUUGUUCUAGAUGUUUAUAUUCAUUUUUCCCACUCUUUUAGUUUUGUUAAUGUGUGACAGUCUUUGUUUUUCAUUGAACUAUUGUGUGGCAGUCUUUAUUUAUUGGUUAUCUUUAGUUUCACUAUUGUUCUUUCUUUAAUGUUUUUCUUAGUUUUUAAUAAGUGUGACAAAAUAUGAAUUUAUCUUUUUCUUUGAACAAAUGUGGAAUUUAUUUUUCUUUUAAUGUAGUUGUGUCCCCAAUAAAUUUAUUUUGGCGAUUUAACAAUCCAUAAUGUUGUUUUUCAUUUUUCUGCUGUAUUUUCUUUGGUUCGUUGUUGUGCGAUGUCUAUUUUUGAGACAUUUUUAAUUUAGUUUUAUUUCUUUUAGCUUCCUGCAUCAUAUUGUAUUAUGGAUUUUUUCGAAAAUUUGAGUUUGAUCUUGUUUUUCUGGUCCACUGCUGUGCAGUUUUUUUUAUGAGAUAUUUUUAUUUAGAUUUAUUAUCUUUUAGCUUGCUUGCAUUAUGGAUUGUUAUGAAAUUUUGAGAUGAUGCUUUAUUUUGUUUUUUGGUCCUUUGCUGUGAUGUCUCUCUAUAAGACAUUUUUAAUUUAGGUUUAAUAACUUUUAGCUAGCUUGCAUUGUGGAUUGUUAUGAAAUUUUGAGUUUCUUUUUUGAUUUUUGGUUUUGGUGAUGCCUUUUUACGAGACAUUUUUAAUUUAGGUUUAAUUUUUUAGGUUGCUUGCAUUUAUGGAUUGUUCUGAAAUUUUGACUUUCUGCUUUUGUUUUUUAUGUCAUUUGUUGUGUGAUAUUCUCUUUAUAAGAUAGAGAUAUUUUUAAUUUAGGUUUACUAUUUUUUAGCCUGCUUGCAUUUGGUAUCAUAUAUGAAUUGUUCUGAAUUUUGAGUUUCUUCUUUUUCAGUCAUUUGUUGUGCGAUAACUUUUUAUAAGACAGACAUUAAGAUUUAUUAUUUUUGGACUUGUUUGUAUUUUGUAUCACGGAUUGUGGUUUUUUAAAUUCAGAGGAGGAACUAGAAAUUGUUCUUGUGAUAUGUUAAAAUCUAGUUUACUGCAAAGAAUGAAUUCUAAAACAGAGGGUAUGAAUAUCAUCAAUAAUUUUUCUCCAUUUGUGCGUUGAGCAAUGUUUAGCUGAUAUGUUUGUGUAUUCUUUACAUUAGUGCAGCACCACAUGCUAAUUUAGGUGUGAAAUGCUAAUUUAGAUGUGAAACACUUCCAAAGAUGACGAGACAUCAAAGAUUGUCGUAGUAAAAAACCUCACCAGUUUUUCCUUUCAGGUUUUUCUUUUCUUUUUCUUUAAUAGUUUGGAAUUUUGCUGGUGUGAUUUCUGCUUUUCUCUUAUCAUUUAUUUUGAUUUUGGAGAGCAACUUUGGUAAUGUUAAGGUGAUUUAAGAAAAGUUGGUUGUCCAAGAAUCAAUUUUUUUAUAUUACCUUAAAUCUUCCUAAGACAUGUUGGGUCUUUUUUUUAUUUUAUUUUAUCUUUUAAAUUCCAAAUCCUACUCAUUUGGUCAUGACGAUUGAAUAAUCAUUGUUAAAUUUAUUUCUUGUUGAUUUUUUUUUUUUUUGGCCUUUGUUAUUUGCAUCUAUACAGGGGUUCGAAAAAUUCAAACCCUUCCCUCUUUUAUUCGACAUUCUUUUAUUUUUAUUUGUACUAUUGGAUUGUUAAAAAUAAUUGUGUUACUAUUUCUUACAUUCCAUAAAGAACCCUUUCUGAUGGAUUAUUUCUUAUUGAACUGUUUUAAAAUUUUGAGUUUCUUCUUUUUCUUUUUUGGGUCCAUUGUUGGGGGAUGUACAUCUUUAAUUUUUUUUUUUUUAUAAGAGAUGAUACAUCUUUAAUUUAGAUUUAUUAUUGUUAGCUUGUUUUGCAUUUUGUAUUAUGUUUUUUGAAAUUUUGAGUUUCUUCUUUUUCUUUCUUUGGUCAUGUGUUGUGCGAUGUUAUUUGCAUUAGGGGUGUUUGGUUGGUUGUUUUUUUAGGGGUGUUUUGGUUAGUUAGGCUUAAGAAGCAAGGGCUAGUGAAAGAGAUUGUCCUACAAGUAAUAAGCUUCUCCUCAAUCAUUCAACCAUUUUUUUAGUAAAGAAAGAGGCUUCUCCUCGUUAACAGGUAAGUCUACCCCGUUACUUUUUAUGUCCUUUUAAUUAAGAUAUUUGGGUCAAUAUAUAUCAAAAUAAAUAAGAUCCAUCUUUGGUAAUUUUUAAAAAAAUUAAAUCUAUAAAUACUCAUUUCAUCUCUAAAAUUAUGUGAUUUGUACUUUCUAAAAUUCCCUCGAUGGUACUAAUACACUCUUAUAUUUGUAUUGUAAUUAUCAUGUCCUUUUUCUAUGGUUUUUUAAAGUUAAUUUAGAUCCUUAUUCGCUCUAGGUAUAAGUUGAAUGGAAGAGUUUUUUAGCUUUGAUAGAUCUUGAGUACCUGAAUCGCCGAUGAAACAGAGGUUAUUUUCUCGGAAAUUCCACGAAUUGUUCAGGUUUGGAUUCUGUAAUUCUGUUGUUCUUUUUUGAUUUUGGAGAGUGUCCUGGGUAAUUUUGAGGAUAUUAUUUUUUUGUUUUUUCGGCUUGCAUUUAAUCACGCGCGUUGGGGAAUAGACAGGCUUCGGAGAAUGAAUCACCUUUUUAAGGUUUCGCUGGGGAGCGAAUUGGCCAUAAGGCAUCCCUUUCCGUUCAGUCUCUCUCUUGCCUUUUUCAUACUAUAUGGUUGUUGAUCUGGGGUUAUUGAAUGAUUGUUGCUUUUAUUUUCAUAAGAAGUGAUCUUAUAUUUUUGUCUCUCUGUGCAACUUUAAUAUGAGGUUAUUAAGGAAGGAGAUAAAGGAGGAAGAAGGGACGAAGAAAAGGAAGAAAUGACUGGAUUGUUGGGAUGGGUAUGAAGAUGCAGUAGAGCCACCACCUAGGGGCUGUAAGGUCUAAUGGGCAAAUUGAAAGUAAAAAAGAGUGCACAUCCAUUCAAGCUAAGAGAGCUUGGGUUCCUAAAUUACUAUUGCUCUGGGUUGUUGAUCUGGGGUUAUUGAAUGAUUGUUGCUUUUAUUUUCAUAAGAAGUGAUCUUAUAUUUUUGUCUCUCUGUUCAACUUUAAUAUGAGGUUAUUAAGGAAGGAGAUAAAGGAGGAAGAAGGGACGGAGAAAAGGAAGAAAUGACUGGAUUGUUGGGAUGGGUAUGAAGAUGCAGUAGAGCCACCACCUAGGGGCUGUAAGGUCUAAUGGGCAAAUUGAAAGUAAAAAAGAGUGCACAUCCAUUCAAGCUAAGAGAGCUUGGGUUCCUAAAUUACUAUUGCUCUGGGUUCUGUUGGUGGCAUUGAUUGGUAUUGUUAAUCUACAAGGGAAUUGAUGGUGUUAACAAAGUUAGAAGAAAGGAAGUUUUGGGCGUAUGUGUGAUCGGAGCACAAAGAUGCUUCUGCAUCAAUUUACUGUCAGUGUUAAACUAUGUCCAUGCUUUGGUUGAUUUCUAUUUUCUACUUUCCACUCCUCUCGAAAUGUAUCAGCAAUUGUUCAUGUAAAUUGUGUAUUCGAUUUCUGUUUGAUACUUCUCAGUUAGUUAGGCUUAAAAGUAUGAGAGAUAAUUCAUUUCUCGUCUCAUAUAGAAAUUAACUUGAUGUCUUGAUUUUUAGGGUUUUUUUCAGCGGUUUUUGGUUUUUUUUUUUUUUGUUGGAUUUUGGCUAGUUAGGCUUAGAGGUGCAAGGACUUGUGAAAGAGAAGCAUUUGAUUGACCAACGAGUAAUUAGUUUCUCCUCAAGCAUCCCACCACUUUUCUAUUAAAGAAAUACAGGUACGUCUACGCUAUUACUUUUCAUGUCCUUUUACUUAAGAUAUUUAUAUAAAUAUAUAUAAAAAUAAAUAAGAUCCAUCUUUUGUAAUUUUUUUAAAAAUCAAAUCUGUGAAUAUUCAUUUCAUCUCUAAAGUUUUGCGUUUUGUUACUUUUUAAAAUUCCCUCCAUGUUACUAUUACACUCCUAUAUUUGUGUUGUAAUUAUGAUGUCCUUUUUCUAUGGUCUGUUAAAGUUAAUUUAAAUCCUUUUUUGCUCUUGGUUUAUGUUGAAGAAAUGGAAGAGUUUUUUAGCCUUAAUAGAUCUGGAGUACCUUAAUCGCUCUUGCAUUUUGUGAUUCUGUUCUUUUUCUAUUUUGAAGAGUGUCCUGAGUAAUUUUUAGGAUUUUUAUUUUAUAGUUUUUGUCGCUUGCAUUUAAACACGGACUUGGUUGUUGAACUGGGAUUCUUGAAUAAUUGUUGGUUUUGUUUUCUGAAGAAGUGAUCUUAUAUUUGUGUAUCUCUAUGUGCAACUUUAAUAUGGGGUUAUUAAGGAUGGAGAUAAAGGAGGAAGAAUGGAGAGAGAAAAGGCAGAAAUGACUUAAUUGUUGGGAUGAGUAUGACCCCAUGUCUAGUAGUUCCCAAGUAUGAUAUAGGAAGGCAGAGAGUCAAGGCCUUGUCUGACUCUAAUAGAAGUAAGUAGCUAACGCAACGCAAUAUUCUUUGCACCUUCAGUCUGUGAAUCUGAGGAGCAAGAGUUUGGCCAGAGGAGCUAGUCUCGUAACUGCGGCGCGCAGUUCUAGUUCUUUACAAGACAGAUGGGAACUGUAGCUAACAAGUGUGCCCUGAGUGGAAUCCUACCACUACUCUUUCUACUAUAUUGGCAGGACGGGUGCCAAGUUAUUAGUAGCUAGGCAGCUAAGCCAGUAGUAGUUCAGUUCAGGUGCUGUUCUCAAACCUAGUUGACUACGUUGUAGCGUAGCGGUACGGGACAGAAAAAGAAUUGAUAGCGGUACACUGAACACAAAGAAAUUUGAUAGACAUAUGUUGAGAGUUCGACAAGUAGCACUGAAUCUACUAUCAGUAGUGAUUUAUAGAAGUUGACUCGCUUAAACGAAGAGAGUGAACAAAGCAUAGCGGAGUGAAGAGAGAAAUGGUUUCAUUAGAUAGCUCUCUCGAUGUCCUUGUUAUCUUUCCUAGGUAGAUUGUGACUUAUUCAUUCUUUCUCGCUGACUCUAGUUUCCCCGCCGUGGAUCCUUUCUCGGUUAGGGCUGUAAUUUAGAAUUCAGAAACGUAUCUGUCUUAUUAUCUUUGAGUCAAAGCAAUGUUACAUAUUUAUAUAGAGAAUAAACUAAACCCUAGAGACUAUGUAAAAUUACAAUAAAGGACAUAUGUAUAUAUAUAUAUAUAUAUAUCAUAACACUCCCCCUCAAGCUGGAGCAAAUAUGUCGAUCAUGCACCAGCUUGUUGCACAGAUAGCUUAUCCUUGUUCCAUUUAAAGCUUUAGUUAGAAUAUCUCCCAAUUGUUCUCCGGUCUUCACAUAUCCUGUGGACACCAACCCAUCUUGGAUUUUCUCACGAAUGAAGUGACAAUCCACCUCAAUAUGUUUAGUUCGUUCAUGAAAUACUGGAUUAGAUGCAAUAUGAAGUGCAGCUUGAUUAUCACACCAUAAUUUAGCUGGCACGGUAAUACUGAAGCCUAUCUCAGAUAAUAGUUGGUGAAUCCAUACUAUUUCACACACAGAUUGUGCCAUAGCUCUAUAUUCUGACUCAGCACUCGAACGAGAAACAACAUUUUGUUUCUUACUCUUCCAUGAAACUAAGUUUCCACCUACAAAAACACAAUAUCCAGAAGUCGAUCUCCUAUCCUCACGAGACCCCGCCCAAUCAGCAUCAGAAAAACAUUCAACUCUCGUAUGUCCAUGAUCUUUGUAUAGGAUCCCACGUCCAGGAGCAGCUUUUAGAUAACACAAAAUCUGCUCUACUGCAGCCCAAUGAUCCACUGUAGGGGAAGACAUGAAUUGACUUACAACACUUACAGAAUAUGCAAUGUCUGGUCGAGUCACUGUUAAGUAGUUCAACUUCCCAACUAAUCUCCUAUAUCUCUCAGGAUCUUUACAUAAUUCUCCUUCUUUAACAAGUUGCUGAUUUGGCAUCAUUGGAGUGCCACUUGGUUUGGUGCCUAAUUUUCCUGUUUCAGACAACAAAUCAAGUACAUAUUUUCGUUGAGACAAAUAAAUACCUUUCUUGCUUCUCAUCACUUCAAUGCCCAAAAAAUAUUUCAAUUGGCCCAAAUCUUUUGUAUAAAACUGACCCUGAAGGAAAGUUUUGAGAGACGAAAUACCCAAUGCAUCAUUUCCAGUAAUAACAAUAUCAUCAACAUAUACAACUAGUAGAACUAUACCCUUCUCAGAUCGGCGAUAGAAAACUGAAUGAUCAGAUGUACUCUUCUUCAUACCAAAGCAUACAAGGGCUUGACUAAACUUACCAAACCACGCACGAGGACUCUGUUUCAAACCAUACAGAGAUUUUCGAAGGCGACAUACUUUAUCACUCUCCCCCUGAGCAACAAACCCUGGUGGUUGUUCCAUAUAAACUUCCUCUUGAAGAUCACCGUGAAGAAAAGCAUUCUUAAUGUCAAGUUGAUGCAACGACCAUUUAUUGGUAGCAGCCAUGGAAAGAAAUAGGCGAAUGGAAGUUAACUUGGCAACCGGAGAGAAUGUAUCUGAAUAAUCAGUGCCAUAGAUUUGAGCAUAACCUUUGGCAACAAGGCGAGCCUUUAAACGAGCCACUGUUCCAUCAGGAUUCAUCUUGACAGCAAACACCCAUUUACAACCAAUGGCCUUCUUUCCUGCAGGACGAGAUACCAAAUCCCAAGUAUCAUUAUCAUCUAAAGCAGUCAUCUCCUCAAUCAUUGCAUUUUGCCAGCAGGAUGAGACAAAGCUUCAUGAACAGAGUUAGGAAUAGAUGUGGACUCAAGAGACGUAAUAAACGCAUAUGUGGAGGGAGAUAACUGGUGAUAGGAAAUAAAGGAAGAAACGGGGUAAGUACACUUGCGUUUACCUUUGCGAAGAGCAAUGGGAAGAUCAUCACUUGGCGCUGGAUCACAUGAUGAAGGAAGCAUUGAUGGAGGACAUGAGUCUGAAGGUUGUGGUGGAGGUCGUCGGGAGUAGACUUGAGAAAUCAACGGGCGGGAAGGAGGCACAUCAGUAGACAAGGAUGGUGUGGGAGAGGUAACCUCAUAUAUAAAAAGAUUGUCAUCCUCCCCCUGAUACAAACUCGAUGGUGAUGAAGUAAAGGGUGUAUCUUCAAAAAAGACAACAUCAGGCGAAACCAGAUACCUUUUAAGGGUAGGACAAUAACAACGAUAACCCUUUUGAACACGUGAAUAACCCAAGAAGAUACACUUCAAGGAUUUGGGAUCUAACUUAGUAUGAUGAGGACGAACGUCACGAACAAAACAGACACAACCAAAUAUCUUAGGAGCAAUAGGAAACAAAUGCUUGGUAGGAAAAAGAACACGAUAGGGAAUCUCACCAUUAAGAACAGAGGAAGGCAUUCUAUUAAUCAAAAAACAAGCUGUAGAGACAACAUCAACCCAAAAGAUUUUUGAAACAUGCAUUUGAAACGAUAAAGCACGGGCAGUUUCAAGUAAAUGCCUAUUUUUCCGCUCUGCAACACCAUUUUGAGAUGGAGUGUCAGCACAGGAAGAUUGAUGAAUAAUGCCAUUUUCACACAAGUAAGAGCCAAGAGAAUGAGAAAAAUAUUCACCCGCAUUAUCAGUACGCAAAGUUUUGAUAGAGACAUUAAAUUGGUUUUUUAUUUCAGUAUGAAAGGCACAAAAAUGAGAUAAUAACUCAGAACGAUUUUUCAUUAAAUAUAACCAAGUUAGACGAGAAUGAUCGUCAACAAAAGUAACAAAAUAACGAAAGCCUGUUUGAGAUACAACUGGACACGGACCCCAAAUAUCAGAAUGAACUAACUCAAAUGGAGCAAUUGCUCGUUUAUCGACUCGAGGACUCGAACUAAGACGAUGAAAUUUCGCAAAUUGACACGAAUCACAAUUUAAAGAGGACAAAGACCUAAAUUCUGGAUAAAGUUUCUUCAACACGAAACAAAGAUGGAUGACCUAAACGACAAUGGACUUCAAAAGGAGAGGGAACGACAGGACACGCCACAGCUUGCGAUACUUGAUGAUCAAAGAGAUAAAGGCCUCCUGACUCAUAUCCUCUACCAAUAAUCUUCUUCGUCACACGAUCCUGAAACAAGCAAUAACCAGAAAAGAACAUGACAACACAAUUUAGGUCAUGAGUAAGUUGACUAGUAGAAAUUAAAUUAAAGGAUAAGUUAGGCAAAUGUAACACAGAAGAGAGAGAAAAUGAUGGGGUAAGGUGAAUAGUGCCAGAGCCAAGAACAGAAGAUGUGGAGCCAUCGGCCAAUGUAACCGAUGGAAAAGGGGCAGGGGACAACGGUCUAGAAAAUAGGUGAGAAUUACCUGUCAUAUGAGCUGUGGCACCAGAGUCUAUGACCCAUUUGGUAGAUGAUGUAAGAAGACACUUUAUAUUACCUGGGGCAACAGUGGAUGCAAUCGGAGUAGAGGAAGAUGACGCUUGUAAUGACUCUUGGUAAUUCUGAAACUUAGCAAACUCAUCUGCCGAAAUAGUAACUGACGCCUCUGGUAUAUCACAUGUGGAGGCUAUCUGAGCAUGUUGAGAUCGUUGACUAUUCUUAUAUAGCAAUUUCCGACAAUCACGUUUCAUAUGGCCUGGCUUACGACAGUAGUUACAAACAAUCUCUACAGACUCUGGUUUUCGAUGAUCAGUACUAUUCCUCUGAGGUGCCCGAGGGUUAUUGUUCUUGCUAAAGAGAGCACUACUGGGUUGAGGAAUAGACACACUAGUCGGAGAGCUUUCAAUGCGAAGGACUCGAGUGAAGGCAUCAUCUAAUGAUGGAAUCUUGGAGUCAGAGAGAAUCUGUGUCUUUGCCAUUCCAAAUUCAGGUAAGAGUCCAUUCAGGAAAAUCAUAACAGCCAUCUUCUCUCGUUGAACUUGUUGAACUUUAACAUCAGGACUAAAAGGUAACAACAAGCCAAGCUCGGCAAUGAUCUUCUUAAGACGCAUAAAGUAGCUGGUGACAGACUCAGCUUUCUGUUCCGCACGAGAAAAUUGCAUACAAACUUCAAACAUUCUAUGCACUUGCUCUUUACCUGAGUAUAGAAAAUCCAAAAAUUCCAAAAGUUCUUUAACAGACUCACAGUGAUCAACCAAUCCAAUUAUCUCACUCUCAAUUGAAUUCUUGAUCUGAAGAUAUAAACGGGCAUCAUCACGAAGCCAAUCCUUCUUCUGCUUUGCAUCUUUUGGGGGAUCUUCAGUCAUAUGAUCAUCCAUAUCAGUACUUCUCAAAUAAAAUAAAAUUGUCCGACGCCAAUCGUAAUAAUUGGAUCCAUUUAACUUAUGUUCUGUGAUCUUAGAGGCCAAGGGAAUAACGUUGGAGACUACCAAAUUUUUUAUGUCGGCCAUAUUGAAGUCACACGUUGAUUGUAGUCCACUCGAACAAAGAGAAAAUCAAUCCAAACAGCUGCAAAAUUGGAAAAAGACACAAAACCAAUCGUGUAACCUUCGGUUUUCGUCAAACCCGAAUGUUAUUUGAUAGACCCAAUGGUACAGACUGGCAGGAAACAAUGGUUCGAGACAAGCCCAGAAGACAGAAGACAAAUCGGACUUCUCACGCGCUCUCACGCGCGGCGGUGCGUGGGUGAAGGUGACGAUGAUUCCGGCGGCGCGUGACGGUCACGCGCGGUGUUUUCCGGCGAUCGGCGAAGACAGACUUGGGCGGACGGAGGUGGUGCUUCUUAUGGUAUGGGCGGUGUCGACAAAUGGUCACCGGAAGGUAACCCAAACUUCAAACCUAAUGGAGGGCUCUGAUACCAUGUAAUUUAGAAUUCAGAAACGUAUCUGUCUUAUUAUCUUUGAGUCAAAGCAAUGUUACAUAUUUAUAUAGAGAAUAAACUAAACCCUAGAGACUAUGUAAAAUUACAAUAAAGGACAUAUAUUUACAUAUGUAUAUAUAUAUAUAUCAUAACAAGGGCCUCCCCUAUCCUUAUUCAUUGAUCGCUCUCUUUGCCGCGAAUCUCGGCAUGGUGGUUCUUCGCCUCGCAAUAUUCUUUGCUCCUCCUUCCUGGGCUUGAUUGGUACAUCAAGCAUAUCGGCAUUUUGCUUCUUCGGUGUGGUACACAUAUCUAUCAAUGAAAAGAAAGUAAUAGAAUUCAUUCCCGCGUACUCGCAUAUUGAAUUGCGCCUUCGGACCAUCAAAGAAAGGUCCAGGGUCCGGAGUCCGCUGGAUUUAUCCGGAGUCCGGAGAAUUUAUCCGUAGGACCAUCCAUAUGGAGGGAAGUAGUCCGGAGGAUGUUGGAAUUUUUUGUCCUAAAACUCGUAGUUUAUAAAUCAUAUUCUGUUCAAUAAAGUUGUUAUUGAGAAAUUAAAUAUUAUAAUCUUAAAUCCAAUAAAUCAAGUUCCAAGGCUAUUUUUGAAUAAACUUGAACUUUAUGUGUAAACAUAAACGUGGAUCAAGUUCGAGUAUAUAGCCUAAAUAGUCUAUAGUAUAUGAAAUAAAGGUUGGGUGCCUUAUUUAGGGAAACUAUGGAUGCGGUCCACUUUGUGGUACAAACGAGGUGAUCCUAAUCGUUCAUGUAGAGACAUGAAAGUGGGGGCAUUCUAUGUAAAAUGUUUACAUAAGACUGAACCAUGAAUUAGUCUUUUUUUACGUUAUAACACCGUUUACUGUUUAAAACUGACUAUCUCAACAUUUUGACUUUUUACUAAGAAAAAUCAAAGUUUGACUUUUGACUAGAAAUAUCUAAUGACCAUUUUACCCUUGGACUAAGUUAGUGGGAAAAUCCAACAUUUUGUUGGAUAAUCCCACUAACUCUUAGUGGGAUAUGUGGCUAUAUGAGAUAUAGACACCUAGCCCACUAAGUUCCACUAAUUGUUAGUGGAACAUUUGGUGUUGAGAUUUGGCAAAUGAAUUGCAUGCAUUUUUGCAUGUAAUUAGGUUAUAAAUAGAGGUGUUUUCAAAUGUUGAAGAACUUUUGCCUCUUUUAUCAUUUUCAUCAUCUCAACCAAAUAAAAAAAAAGGAAACCUUCCAAUCCCAUUUUAUCUCCAUUACUUUCUACACCAAAAUUGGGUCCCACAACCCGGUUCUUUGUCUAGAGGAUAGCAGUUGAGUACUAGUGGUGGUCUCGGUUAGAAUUGGUAAGAAGAUACCAAACCUUUUGAAAGCUUCAAAGGUAAUAUUUCCUAAAACCCUAAUUUGAUUAAUUUAUGGUUACAUGUUAAUUGUGGCAAUUAGGGUAGAAAUUCGAUUCUUUUUCCGCUGUGCAUGACUUAGUUCUAUCAGAGGAUUUAUUCGUAGGACCAUCCGUAAUUAACAGAAGUAGGACUAUCCAUUAUCCUCCGUCCGGAGUCCGCAGGAUUCUUAUCCGUAGGACUAUCCGUAAUUAACCGAAGUAGUCCUCCAGAAUUUCUGUAAUUAACCGAACUUUGCACCUCUUGACUAUGAAUCAUAUAUAUUGAUUUUGACCGGAGCAAAGAUCAUUGCCCACGGAGCGGCGCAAAGAAUAUUGCGACCUGUGGAUUCAUUGAGGCGGUGAAGAAUUGCCAUUUUAUGAGCUUGUAAGACCCCUCCGGAGGAGAAGGAUAGGGGAGCAAGGUGAAAAGUGGUUUUCAAAGUCAGAGCUAUCCCUUAUUAUUGAGGGCUUUGACCACCUGGACACUCGCCUACUCAGUCGCAAGGAUCAAAGAAUUUGAUUGACAAAGAAUAUUGCGAUUUUACCGAGUCCUUCGUCUCGCAAUAUUCUUUGCGCCUUCGGUGAGUCAGGUUAAUAUGGAUAAGUCCUUCGGACUGAUAGCGUCCAAAAAAUAGGCGAGGGCGGGCGGGCUAUAAGUAGGCCGUUUGCUAUUGCUAUAAGGGCUGCUCGCCUUUAUACGGCUUGGCUUCGCUAUCGCUCAUGACUUGUAUUGUGGUCGGCCUAAAAAGUAGUCUUCCUACCAUAAAAAAAUGCCUAUUAUCUAGUUCGUUAAGCUUCGCCAAAAGCAAGACGAGGGCGCUCUGCUUCGUAGACAAGGCUCGUCUAGUACUUGACUUACGAGUUCGUGUAGGACUCCCCCCUCUCUCUAAAGGGGCUUAUGCACGGAACUCCUUGUCUACUAAAGAAGCGUUAGAGCGAGCGAGUUCAGCCUGAAAUUGAGUGGUCUCCCUCCUUUUCCCUCACUGAGAUAUUAUGUCUUUCAUUUCCACUUAAGCUUCCCCGCUUUGAGGGAUUAAUUGAUUGGAUACCCGAGAACCAUAAUCUUUCCUAGGAACUGCUUCUACGACGAUAGGCGUAAAGGCAUGAUUAGUUCCACAAAUCUCACUGCACUGACCAUAGUAAACUCCUUCUCGUUGUACCAAAAUGGAGAUCUGAUUUAAACGACCAGGUACAGCAUCACAUUUGACACCUGAGGAAGGUACAGCCCAACUAUGAGGUACAUCAGCAGGUGUUACAAUAAUACGUAGAUGAGUUUUGGCUGGUAGAACCACUCUAUUGUCCACUUCUAAUAAACGUGAUUGACCCAAUUCUAGAUCAUCUUCUGGAAUCGUAUAACUGUCAAAAGUGAGUGACUGUUCAUCGGAACUGUUAUAGUCAGAAUACUCAUAAGUCCGAUACCAUUGAUGUCCAAUAGCUUUGAUAGUCAUGGCUGGAUCUACUACUACCUCGUCCAUUGAGUAUAAGAGAGCAAAGGAUGGUAUAGCAAUGAACAUCGGAAUGAUACUAGGAAAAAUGGUCCAAAGAAUCUCGAUAGUAGUUCCAUGAACAAUCCUUUGCGGUAUUUUCUUUUGAGAAUAGUGGAAAUGCCAUAAAGCGCGAACCAAGAUCCGUGAUACGAAAACAAAAAUCAGAAUGAGGAAGAAAAAGAUAUCGUGAUGUAAGUCUAUUAUUCCUUGCAUCAUAGGUGUUGCUGUGUCUUGAGAUCCUAAUUGCCAUGGUUCCGCUGCAUCACAAGGAGCAAUUGUGAGGAAUAACCAUUUGAGAACAAUCAUUUUCUUUGGUUUAUUCUUUGACUGCUCUGCUCCCCCCCCCAAAAAAAGAGAGACUUGUUCUUGUUGCUUGGGCCGAGUUAAGUAUGGCUACCUAUUACUCCUCACUGCACACUUGAAAUAUCUCUUGAUACUCCCCCCUCUUUCUUACAACUAGUUGCUGCAUGCUAUCAGAUCUCGAGCAAUGGGAGGUUAGAAUUGAGAAUCCACACUCUCAUUACAUUACAUUUUGAUGUCGGAAAAUGUCUUUUGGGCAAUGAGCAUUCCUUAUGGGCGUAUCCGUUCUCUAUUUAGAGAAAUUCUUAGAGCGGUGCAGUUUAUGCAUGGCGAAAGGGAGCAUUGGAAGGGUCUUAGCUCCAGAAUAUGAAGACGAAUCCACACUCUCAUUACAUUACAUUUUGAUGUCGAAAAUGUCUUUUGGGCAAUGGGCAUUCCUUAUGGGCAUAUCCGUUCUCUAUUUAGAGAAAUUCUUAGAGCGGUGCAGUUUAUGCAUGGCGAAAGGGAGCAUUGGAAGGGUCUUAGCUCCAGAAUAUGAAGACGAAUGAAUAAGGAAGAUCAGAUUCAAGGAAUAAGAGGACAAAGGCUCGAUAGGAGGAAAUGAAUAAGGGGUCCAACGGAGCCUUCGGAGUACUAUAAAGAGGAAAGCCUAGACUGAUCGAUGUUCUUGGUAGGAACAUCCAUAAAUCAGGGGAGGGAGAUCGAGUUUCAAACCUUUAUACACAAAAUUGAAACUCAAAAUUCACUUCCUUCCUUCCGCAAGGCCGAUAUCUUUCAUAGCAAGCAAGGAUGAGUCCAUUAGGUUCUUCGAUUGAUUCGGAAAAGAAAUGAGAGACAAGAAAAGAUCUUUGAUGGAGAUGAAAAGGAAGAAUCUCAAAUAGACCAAGAUCCAAUUUCGGGUCAUUUCUUGGUGAACAUGAUCUGCCAUAAUCUCUUCGAUCCCUGAAUUUAUGUGCCAGAAUAAAGAGAGAUUUGGUAGGAAAGUGGAAGAGACCUUGUGGUAUAUAAUAAUGAGAGGGAGUGGGAAAGCUGCUGUAAUUCUUUGGAAAAGCCCGGUUCUUUUUGUCUUCGAGCUUGAAUUCCUCAAUCCACUCUUUCGUUCUUUCAUAUACCUCCCCACCAAUAGAUAGAGACAAAUAGGAAUAACCGAACCACGUCUACAAAAUGCCAGUACCAUGCAGCUGCUUCAAAGCCAAUGUGAUGCUCCUUGGUCAGAUGACCUAGAUAUUGGCGAAUACCACAUACGAUCAAGAAAAGAGUACCUAUAAUCACAUGAAAACCAUGAAAGCUAGUUGCUAAGAAAAAGGUAGAACCAUAAAUACUAUCAGAAAUAGUGAAGGGUGCUUGAUAAUAUUCCAUUCCUUGAAAGCCUGUGAAUACUAGAGCCAGUGAAACGGUAGCUACUAAAGCGUAAACAACUCGUUUUUCCUUCCCCGCGAGUAUAGCAUGAUGAGCCCAAGUUACGGCUGCUCCGAAUGAAAGGUGAAUAGGGGUGUUAAGAAAAGGGAUUUCCCGAGGAUCUAAAACCCCAAUCCCUUUUGGGGCCAAAUAUCUCUGAUCUCUACCGUAGGUGCCAAAGAAGAAUGAGAAGAAGCCCGAAAAAAAGCAAAAAGGAACAUAACCUCCGAUACGAUAAAGAGAAUAAAACCAUAUCGAAGUCCUAUUUUUACGACUUUGGUAUGAUGUUCCUUCCAACGUGGAUUCACGUAGAACAUCACGCCCACCAUACGAACAUGGUAUAUAGGAGAAAUAUGAGGCCCAAACUGAGAAGUCUUGCACCCCCUUGAAAUGAGUGCAUGUACAUCACACCUCCUACGAUGGUUGCCAAAUGAUAAGAAUGCCUUUGAGAUUCAAUCACAAACCACUUUGCCGGUUGUUAUGUAAACCCCAAUCCCUUUGGGGGCCAAAUAUCUCUGAUCUCUACCGUAGUGCCAAAGAAGAAUGAAAGAAGCCGAAAGAAGCAAAAAGGAACAUAACCUUCGAUACGAUAAAGAGAAUAAAACCAUAUCGAAGUCCUAUUUUACGACUUUGGUAUGAUGUCCUUCCAACGUGAUUCACGUAGAACAUCGCGCCCAUAACGAACAUGGUAUAUAGGAGAAAUAUGAGGCCCAAACUGAGAAGUCUUGCACACCCCUUGAAAUGAGUGCAUGUACAUCACACCUCCUACGAUGGUGCCAAAUGAUAAGAAUGCCUUUGAGAUUCAAUCACAACUUGCCCGGUUGUAUGUAAACCCCCCCCCCCCCCCCCCCCCCCCCCUCACUCCCACCCACUAAAGUGGUAAAGAAGGGCUCUUUGGGGUCUCAUUUUCUUUUUCUUUCUAUCUGACAGGACUAAAAAAUAGGAAGGAUGGUUCUUUAAUUGCAUUGAUAGAAGUCUAACUAGAAAAAGAUCUUGUUGCUUGAUAGAGCCCUGGCUUUUUGGAUAGAUCCCUCUAUAUUCCAACUGAUUUAUGCGUAGAGGCCGGGAAUAGGAAUCACUCAUAUUGCAUUGAGCCUUAACAGUCCGGAGGACUAUCCCGCUCCGUGGGAUUCUUUUAGCCUCACAAUAUUCUUUGCACCUAUCCAUCCACGCAAUAUUCUUUGCACCUUCGCUCCAAAUAAAGUAAUAGCCGCAACUCAAUUCAUUCAGCCUUCGCCUAGAAAUUCACUUUGCGACCCACUCCGUAAGCCCACUACACGAGAAGAAAGAAUAUCCUUAGCUAUUUAUCUUUAUUAUCUCUUCUCUGAGAAUAUCCUCUUAUUCUACUAUUAGAAGAAUAUCCUACUUUCAGUUUCUAGUCAAAGAAAGUCCAGGCGCAGGCGCAAAGAAUAUUGCGAGGUGCAGUCUAAUGGAUAGGACUGAGGCUCGACUGAAAGGAGAGAAGGCGCAAUGAAAUAUGCGAGGUCCAUAUUUCGACUGAGGAACUGAAACUUCCGCGUAGUGCUUCCCUUGUUCAUUGAUAGUAAUCCUGAAGUUUCUUCUUGGCAUCAAAAUAGAUCAAUGAAAGAGGACUAAAAAUAAGACGAAAGUACUUAUGACGGCUUUCCUUCCAACAAAUCUUCGUUCUUAGUUAUUUGAUUCCACUUUCAACUUUCUGGGAGUUGUCUUCUCCUAGGCUUUCUUCUUUCUGGCAGUCUUCUGCCUUGCCGUAGGGAGUAGGUUCAGGAGAACCAUAACCAUAAAUCAGAGAGACGGAGCAUCAAUCACGCAUAUUCUUUGCACCUCUUCCUUUAAGCUAUAUUUUUUAGGCUCCGGAGGCUCAAAGACAGGGAUAUUGUUGAAUACUAUUGGUUCGAGUCGCAGAGAGCAAAGAAUUUUCUCUUAAUGGAACUUAGCGCGAGUUAAUAUGGAUAGGACUGAGGUCUUAAGACUCCUAACUAUUAAUGGAAAGGACCCACGGAGCGGUGCAAAGAAUAUAUUAGAAGGGCAGACAGGUCCGGAGGACCUGUCUGUCCUUCGUCUUAAUACUCCUAACGUCGAAUAAGAAGCUGGAGGCUGGGUCCAGGUGCAAAGAAUAUUGUGUCCAUUAGAUCCAUUGAAUUAGGCGAAGGAUUUUAUCAAGCUUAGCUUUCUGGAUUCUUCGGCGGAGUGGGGCUUUCUCUAGUAGGUCUGGAGGCUCAAAGAAUGAUCGAAGGCUCCGGACCAUAAAGAAGAGAGUCGGAGGACUUCCAUUGACUUUUUCUUCCUUUCACUUCUAACUUCAAACCUUUCAUAUUCAACCUUGAAAAUAAAGGAGGGAGCGGACUAGAGGCCAUAAGUUUGAGUUCCUCAGAUGUAUAAAAACAAGUCCUCCGCGACGACCUAUCCACUGAAAGUAGCUACGUAGUCUUGUCUCCUUCCCCGCGUAGUGGGCAUUGACUUCUUCAUUGAUUUUCUUCUAUCUCCCACGUAGCGGUUGAAUAUGAAAGGAAGCCCACAGAGCUGAAGAUGGAGCGGGAUAAUAAAGAAGAAAGCUCAAAAGGAGGGAGCGGACCUCAAUGAACAAAGGACUCGUUUUCAUCCUUAUGGAAGAAAAAUCUCUUUUUUUUAUCUAAAAGACGUAGAAGGAGGCUCAAUGUCUAAUCUUUCUCUCAAAUCAAUAUCCCCCAGUGCAAAUAUUCCAGCAAUAUUCUCAAUAUGAAAAGAGCCUUUCUUCUUUUCUUAGAUAAAUGCGCUUCGUAGAUUAUGCUGAAGGAGGAGUGGGCCAUGAUCUUUGCUCCUUAAUUUCCCUAAUGGAUAGUCAUCUGGACCUUUCUUUUUAGUUCUUUGCGCUCGUCAACGCAUAUUUCAUUGCGCCUUCGCCUUCAAUGAAAUCCAUAAAUAAAUAAGGGUAGAUUUCAGACUCAAGAGGAGGGUUCCUUAUCAAUAUCAAUGAGACGGAUAGGCUUUCUUUUACAUUCCACAGGUCCGAAGGACUAUCCAUAUUAACAUGUCUGUCCUUCGCCUAACUAGUUCAUAUAGACCUUUGUUUUUCUUCCGCAGUCACUAAUAUGGAUAGUCCGGAGGACCUCCUUCAGCAUAAUCUAUGAAUGAUCGGAGCAAAGAAUAUUGCGGAAAAGAAGAAAGGAGUGCAAGCGAAAAAUAAUGGAUUGAAUAGUCCUUCGGACGACUACCGCACUUGGGGAUAUUGUUGAGAAAGAAUAUUGAAAAAGAAUGAUCGAAGAAUAUUGAAAAAGGACGGAGGAUAGGCUUUCUUUGAACAAUGUGGAUGUAUCAAAGAUUCCACAGGUUAAUAUGGUAGAUUUCAGACUAGUCCUUCACCUUGGAUCUGGGGACUAUUCUCUGUUCUAAUAGACAGAGGAGAGGUUCAAAGAAUAUUGAGAAUACUCGUGCAAGCGCAAUCAAUGAACAAGGUGAAAAGAACAAAAAAAAAAGGCGGUCGAUGAUCAGGAAGAAAAAGUCAAAAGUCUAUCCCAUCUUCUUCGUUAGGCGCAAAGAAGAAAAAUAAGGUGCAAAGAUCUAUGGCCCAAUUAUAAGGGGUCCAGAUGCACCAUAAGACUGGUCCGAAGGACUAUCCAUAUUAACCGGAGUCUUCAACAAGAUUUCCAACCCUGAAUAUUAAGCUACUGAGGCCCAAUAUUGCGAAGGAAGAACUGCGCCAUAAGACAGGUCCGAAGGACUAUCCAUUAGGGAAUGAGACGGAGGUAAGUUUGGUUUUUUGGAAAACUUGUUGGCGCGAUUAGUGCGUUUUUUUUGGAAAGUAACAAUUCUCUUCAUUUGUUUUCAGAAAACUUGUUGGUCCACGGAUUAGUGCGUUCUGCGCCGCCUGGUGUCUGCAAACAUAUUUUUCCAAAGUGUGUUUACCUUUGGUUAUAUGCUCCGAUUACCCCCAGUUUAUCUCAUCUUUAGUUUGCAUAACUAGUUUAGCUGUUUGCUUUUCAUUAUAGGUCAUAAAGCUUGGGUGUGACGUUUCAGCAUUUUCAUAUGCAAGCCUGCCAGAGAGGAAAAUGUUCAAAAUGUACUAUAGGGGAGGCAUACCAGUUGAAUCCCCGCCCAAGCAUUAGUUGUACUCUUUGCAAGCAACCCUUUUUCCUUGCAAUUGGCAGUCUUUAAUGCUUAUUGUAACGUCUAUUUCAAUGUAUUUCUUUCUUUCCCGUGUUUUAUAAAUAAAAUGUCCCUAAAACGCAAACGAAGGUUACGACAUACAUCGACGUUACCCACAACUCUUGGAUAUUGAUCGACUGACUUGUUCAUCGAGUUAGAACAAGUGCCGCACAAUCGUCCGUCUCGAGGUUGAAACGCUACGAUUGUGACAAGUGGUAUCAGAGCCAAAGUUGGUUGAGUGACAGUUUUGACAAAAAUAAAAUGUCGACUGCAAAACGAGCGAGCAAGACCCAUGAAGAACGGUUGGUGGAGAUCGAAGUGCAGAUGCUCCACCUGAUGGAAGUUCCUGAUUCCAUCCGGUUCUUGGAAUAGCGGCUUGAGGAUAUUGCCAAGAAAGCUGAUGGCAUUGAAGCCGUGUCCGGUCACCUUGACGGACUACCCAUCCAAGAGUUACUGACUAGAGUCGACACUCUAGAGUCCCGAGUUAUGAGAACGGGAAAUGUCACCUACGAGCGUGGGGACAGUUCAUCGGGCUCUGUUGCCCAGAUGGAAGAAAGAGUUAUGGAGCUUGAUAACUCGCAAAAGAACAUGUUGGAGAUGAUGAGCGGCAUGACAAAGGAUUUUCGAGCAACGCUGGAGGAGCCAUUCUUGUGGGCAGAAUCAAGAUUCCUAAGCCCAAGCCCUUCUGUGGGGCGAGAGAUGCCAAGGCGUUGGAAAACUUUAUCUUUGAUGUCGAGCAGUAUUUCAAAGCCUCGAACACAAUUACUGAAGAGGCCAAGGUGACGUUGGCAACCAUGCAUUUGUCAGAAGAUGCGAAGUUAUGGUGGAGGUCCCGAUACAUGGACAUUCAAGAAGGGCAUUGCACAAUCGACACGUGGGAUGCCCUAAAAGGAGAACUCUGUUCGCAAUUUUCCCUGAGAAUGUCGAAAUUCUGGCCCGACAGAAGCUGCAUGAAUUGAAGCACACGGGGAACAUUCAGGACUACGUGAAACAGAUUGUGGGGGUAAUGUUGGAUACACGCGACAUGAUCGAAAAAGAUAAAAUAUUCAGCUUUGUUGAAGGGUUGAAGCCAUGGGCAAGGACUAAGCUAUACGAGCAGAAAGUCCAAGACCUCGUGUCAGCCUAUGCAACAGCUGAACGUUUGUUUGAUCUGUCUAAUGACGUUCAAGAGACAAGACAUCAUUGAAGCUCUUCACCUGGAAGAGACAGAAACAGCCGACUGAAUUCUCCCGAAGCUGUCAGUAGAAAUAAAAGUCCUGGUAGAGACCGCAAGCCCUUCCAGUCAAAUACGGGGAACACCAGGCAAAGGCCCACUAGUCAAAGGACCUCCCACACUCCUAUCAGUUGCUACAUUUGUAACAGGCCACAUCGGACAAGGGAAUGUCCGGAUAAAGCGGCCUUCUACGCCUUCCAGGCCUCUCUGGCUACAGACUUAGGUGACAAGUUGGGUCAACCAGAGAAUGAAGGUGGGUAGGUGGAGGAAGUCCAAAACGUUAGAGUAGGGGCCAUAAGACUUUGUCGUUCCUUCAGAAGAAAGCGGGGGAGACAAGUGGUCGUACAAAAGGGGGCCUAAUAUAUGUGGACACCUGGAUCAACCGAAGGCAUGCAAAGAGCACUAUGGUUGACUCCAGUGCAACCCAUAAUUUUAUAACGGUGGCGGAAGCCAGACGAUUGAACCUUCACUAGAAGAAGGAUACAGAAAAGAUGAAGGCCGUAAAUUCUACAGCUUUACCCGUCGUCGGAGUAGUGAAACGAGCGGUGAUACAGUUGGAAAGAUGGAACGGCCUUGUUGACUUUGUGGUUGUGGGCAUGGAUGACUUUGAUGUAGUUCUCGGAAUGGAAUUCCUUCUCGAACAUCAAGUGAUCAUGAUGCCUGCACCAAAUGUCGGUGAUCACGGGAUCUACCCCCACCGUUAUGCAGAUACCCCCACCAUUAUGCAGAUAGAACUCCGGCAACCCAAAGGAUUGAGAAUGGUCUCGACCAUGCAACUGAGGGCCAUAUUAGGAAGACACAAGGCGUGUCGUGGAGAGACGUUGUGAUGGGAAACAGGAUAGUUUGCCCAUGUCAGAAUCGCCUACGAGAAAUGAUCAUCGUAUGGCGCAAUCAAAAUCAUCUGGACUCAGGAGACAGUCAAUGAGACUGUCAGGUGCAGGAUCCACUAGACCUGCGAGAGAUCCGUAUCAAGCACAAGACUUCUUACGGAAGGAAGAGAAUGGACAAUUGUGUGUCAACAACCGUGUCCUAAAGCAAGCCCCGAGGAGAGGGCCAACUUUUGAGUCCGUGAGUGGGACUCAGCCUGUUGAAGCUUACGCUAAGGCAUAUGGUCCUGUGUCAGGUGGCAUCCUAAUGCAGAAUGGACACCCUAUCACAGCUGAGAGUCAGAAACAAAGUGCCGCAGAAGGUAGUUAUACGAUGUUUGGAAAAGGAAUGCUGACCACGAUACGUAGUCUGAAGGAUGGAAGACAACAUUCCCAGGGGUCUACACAUGGAAGAGAGACGAACAACAUUGCGACCAACCGCUUUGAUACUCGGCCGAAGUGGGCUUUGAGUCAAGAAAAGUGGCAGAGGGACGUGUCAAGGAAUCCUUGCAGAAAAACUCUGUCAUUGAAGUUGAUGUAAGUCUGGCGGAGACCAGUCAGGUGGAAGAAAAGAAUGGAGUUCAAUUGUGGAAGCUAACCCAAUCUUAUGUUAAUGCUGCAAUGAGUUCGUCAAUGGAUGGAAACCAGUUUGUGGGUAUUUGUGGCGGACAUUCUGUACAGUCCCUUGUUGGUCCCUCCUAUGUUGGUAAGAAUCCUCAAGCUUGCAACAGUACCAAGAGGUGGAAGCUGGAGUCAGACAUCGUUCGGACCGAUCGAGAGGAAGCCUCGAAGUGGCCAGAAAAGUGGGCAGAUAAGAAGCAUCGCCUCCGUGUUGGGGGAGACCAGGUCAUCGUCAAACGGCGAUCUGAACUGACUCAGUUUUUGAAGAAGACUUCAAGAUCACCGCCUCGUGAGAGAACGCGAGGGACAAACAGAAGUUCAAGAAGUCCUUGCUAAAGAAGCAAGGAAAAGAAGAAGACCCAUGGGGGGAUACACAAGUUCGUGGUGAAGCAGAGGAGCCUCCUCAUGGAAGAAGCCUGUGGAAGACGUACCAAGACUGUGAAGCGUGGAGGUAGAAGAUCGAAGGAUUCCAGCUUUGCCAGUCGACGGGGACGUCAACUGUUUAAGUGGGGGAGUGUGUCACGGACAUAUUUUUCCAAAGUGUGUUUACCUUUGGUUAUAUGCUCCGAUUACCCCUAGUUUAUCUCAUCUUUAGUUUGCAUAACUAGUUUAGCUGUUUGCUUUUCAUUCUAGGUCAUAAAGCCUUGGUGUGCGUUUCGACAUUUUCAUAUGCAAGCCUGCCAUAGAGGAAAAUGUUCAAAAUGUACUAUAGGGGGGCAUACCAGUUGAAUCCCCGCCCAAGCAUUAGUUAUACUCUUUGCAAGCAACCCUUUUUCCUUGCAAUUGACAGUCUUUAAUGUUUUAUCGUUAUUUCAAUGUAUUUCUUUCUUUCCCGCGUUUUAUAAACAAAAUUUCCCUAAAACGCAAACGAAGGUUACGACAUACAUCGACGUUACCCACAACUCUUGGAUAUUGAUCGGCUUACUUGUUCAUCGAGUUAGAACAAGUGUCGCACAAUCGUCCGUCUCGAGGUUGAAACGCUACGAUUGUGACACCCGGCAGCCACAUAGAAUUGAGAAAAGCCUAUGGUUGAGGCAGCAUUAAUUUAUGAAACUUUACACGUGGGAAGAGAUGACUCUUUCUAUUCAAACCUGUAAACAUAGAAGACCGCCUCAAUGAACAAGGGAUCAUUCACAUAGAAUAAAUAUGAACAACGAGAAAGGGAAUAUAAGGUUUGAAUUCAGAGGAAAGCCUAGCUUGAAUGAACAAGGUGAAAAGAAUAUUGACAGCUGCACUUACGAGUCUUUCAGUUACCUUUCUGCCUCUUUAAAGAGUUCAAGGUUUUCUAUUAUCGGAAGAAUCAGAAUAAGAAGAAAAUAGAGAGAGAAGAGAGCUCAGGAGGCGCAAUGAAAUAUGCGUGAGAAGCGCAUUUCCUUAGUGGAAUACUUUGAUAGCGGAAUAAGAAGUCGGAGGCUCGGUCAAGACGAUCUUUUGAUCUAUUCUAAUGGUUCUAAUGGAUAGUCCUUCGUUUUAGAGUCCUACAGAUAAAUCCUCCGGACUGGUCCGAAGGCUAGGUUCAUACGGAUAGUCAGGACGGUUAGUUGGAGCCUUGUUUUUCGAAAUCUUCUUUGAGCCUCAGUCGUCUCAUUGAUAAGGACAUCUUUGCAAAUGAAGAGCGGGAGGUGCAAAGUGCGGCUAUUACUUUGAAAAGAAUAGGAGCUCCGCGGUUUGAAUUGAAUAAAAAGGAUAGGCUGAAAUUCAAAGUGAAUAAGAGGAUAUUUUCAGACAUAAUAUCUAAAGUCAAUGAACAGGGCUCCUAACCUGAUUUAUGGGGAGCCUACUACGUCCAUUAGUUCCGAACUUGGCUCCACUCCUAGUAGUUCGAACUUGGCUUUGCUCCUUCGCUUUUUCUCUUAUUGAUCUCUCUUGUAAUGCUUUCUACUAAGAAUCAAGAAAGCGCAACUUCUAUUGUUCGAACGACCUUGAUUAAAAAACGAUGCUUCCUUGGUCGUGUAGAACAUGGAUUAGCAUUAUUUCAUUCCUACAAGCGAUCCCCCAUCCAGGAUUGGAAGAAGUGCUAUAUGAGGACUUUGAGAUCAAAUAGAAUAUAUUUCUUUCAAGACCUCGUGAGCCACUUAUUUCUCCGAAACAAGAGAGAAAAGUGAUUUUCCUCCUUUUUCUCAAUAAGUCGACGACCUUACACCAUUGGGAUACUUCUUUGAAACUAGAGUACAUAUAGGAUACACCGGUGCUAAAACCUUUUCUCAAAAGAUCUUCCAAACUGUUGGGGUCCUUGCUCCGUAUGUUCUUCCCCCGGUGUGAAAGCAGUUGGUUCCAUAGUUUGAGAAUUCUACUGAUCCCAAGUACUCCAUCUCCAUCAUUGCAUAGGGAAUAUAGAAAGUCAAGAAGAAAAGGCAUGAGCAGAAGAAUUGUGUGAAAUAAGUCAAUUUAUCCAAUUGAGGCAUUCUUUCUUUUUCUUAAGAAAAUUCCCUCUAGACAUAAAUCCUUUCUGUACGAGUAGUGAAGAACUAUAGAGAGCAGUGGUUGGUUGUUGACCAACGAAAAGCAUGGGAGAAAGAAAGAUGUUGGCAAGGAAGCAUCAAAAUAGAUCAAUGAAAGAGGCUCAAAGAAUGAUCGAGGACUAUUUUAGUCCGACUAGAAACUAGGGAAACUAAAGACUAACGAAAUCUAGAUGAGAAUCCGUACAAUUAGUCUCGAGAAAAAGAAGAAAGCAAUAAAAAAAGUGAAGACAGAAAAUGAACCGAAAAUCUUCUUCUCUCAUAUUGAAUUCAUCCUUCUACGCAUCUCCAUGGGCUCGACUGAGAGUGGAGGAGAGGACGGGAAGAAUGAGAAAAAUAGUAAGGCGAGAAGACAGGUUCGAAGGACUAUCCAUCAGGGAGUUUGGACCCCGUAGUUAGGAGCAAAGAAUAUUGCGAAAGAGUCAUAAUAGGUACAAAUCUUCUUAGAUUAUGUUGAAGGAGGCGGCGCAAUUCAAUAAGCGAAAGUCAUGAUCCCUUUAAAGCAGACGUUAGGCGCAAAGAAAGAAGCUCAUUAACGAGAAUGAAAGAAUAAUUCACUCAUUAACGAGAAUGAAAGAAUAAUUCACUCAUUAACGAUAAUGAAAGAAUAAUUCUGAUUUCAUCACCUUGUUUUUACGGAGUUCAAUACUAGAUUGAAGACGGAGGGAAAUCCCAGAUUUUGCUAGGUUUUGGGCCUAUAAAGUAGCAAGAAAUCAUGAAAAAUCAGUCAAAAUUAGACAAUUAUCGUAGCAUAUCAAUAUGAGAAAAAGUAUGAAAAAGAAGCAAAAAAGUCGGAAAAUAGCAAUUCAAGAAGAAAGCCUAGGACAGGGAAAAGAAAUGAACACUUCUAGUUUGAGUUUAUGGUCCGGAUACUGACAGGUCUAUUCAUUAUUCCGCUCCUGAAUAUGGAUAAUCCUACUUCGGUUAAUUACGGAUAGUCCUCCUUCGGUUAAUUACAGAUGGUCCUACGGAUAAAUCCUCCAGACUACUUCAAUUAAUUACGGAUGGUCCUACUUCCAUAUGGAUAGUCGUACUUCAAAUGGAUAGUCCUCCGGAUAAAUCCUGCGGACGUAGGACCUUGGACCUUUCUUUCUUUAAUGGAUAGUCCUCCGGAUAAAUCCUGCAGACUGCGUAGGACCCUGGACCUUUCUUUGGCACUCCGGACGGAUAAAGAAAGGAUAAAUAAAGGCGCAAAGAAUAUUGCGAAGUGAAGCGCAUUUAUCUAAGAAAAGAAGAAAGGAUAAAUAAAGGCGCAAAGAAUAUUGCAAGAGCGGGAAUUACCUUUUCUCUUCGGGUUAGCUAAGAGUUGUCGGAGGCUUGAAGUCGAAUAAUUACUUUUACUUAAAGGUUUCACAAACCUGCAAAAUCUUCUCCAAAUUAGCGUUAGCGUUCUGAGCUAGCCAAGCAGUAUAUUUAAAAUAUAGAAAGAAAAAAAUCCAUGCAAUCCAAGUACACUAAGAACCUACAGCAUCGUCACGCUGCGUGCGGAAGGUUAAUUCUUCUAACUCUGGUAUUAUCGUUGAACAAGCAGUUCACAUUCGACUGCCCACGUAGUGGGGGAAGCUCGCUCGCUAACUUUGCACUUCGGCCAAAAUGCCGAAAAAAGGCUAAGGCCGAAGGAGGUCUGCUCCUUCGCUCAAGGAAAAAUUGCCCGAUUGAAUAUAUAUCUUGGAGCAGAGAGAGGAAAGGAUGACGGAAGCCUCAGUCUCAGUACGAAAGGGGCAAAAAGCUGGAAAAGGCAUACUGGCUUCACCUUGCCCUAGGAUGGGGUCCGUCGGAUCUUUUAAGGCAUAAGCUUAAUGCUGAGACGCACGGGGAUAUCCGGUCAAGGAUGGAUAUUCAAGACAAGGACGAAGGCUCUCCUUCACGCAAGAUGAUUACAAGUCUUAGGAGUGAACUUCCGCUUUACCCUUGUGGUAUCAUGAAGCGAAGGGCAGAGAAAGCGAGCGAGAAAACAUAAAUCAAGGCGGUCGUUGACUUAAAAUAGGCAAAAAGAAAAGACAGAGAGCCUACAGGUUUCUCGAUUUACCCUUCUUCUAGGAUAGAAAAAGGCACUGCCUGUGUGACCACUACAAGCAGACGUGACGAGCGAUGCAGGGCCACCCACGACCGCUAGCAAUACGAGGUAAAGCGGCCAGAAAGCAUACCAUAGGAUGCGUCCUGAGGGUAUUCACAUAAACAUUCUUCGAAUUGUUCACAUUCGGCGGGAUGUUCUUAGCCUUGUCUCCAAGUGAAUAAUUGAAUCGGCACCGACACGAUCGGACCUAUUGCAGCCUUCGGUUGACUGGUGGCAUUCGAUGGUAUGCUUUGAGGCCUUCCCAACCUGCUCCGUGUAAAAAGGUAGAAGGAGGCUCAAAGAAUUAUCGAAGAGCGAGACGAAAGAAAAUAGCGACUUCCAGUCGGUGAUGGGAUAUCUCAAUGUUAUCGCAGAUUCAAAGGCGCAAAGAAUAUUGCAUUGAGGCUCGACUGAAAGGAGAGGCGAAUUUGAGAAGAAAGAACUAUAUCGGAUAAAUACUCAACUGCCUCAGACGUCACUGGGACAAGAGCCGGAGAUUCUGAAACCUCUCGCAGCUUCUUUGCUUCCUUUGGUCUCGAUAUUUGAACCGCCUCAAUAAACAAUAAAUAAGGGUCCAAAAAAUCAAGGUCAUCUGAAACCCUUUUUUUUAUGCGCCUCAGUCCUAUCCAUUAGAACGCCGGCCCUCACCCUUUUUCUUCUUAGUGAGAGCUUGAGCUUUAGUCUUCCGAGUUCUCAAAUUCUUUGACCCUCUGUCUCAGUAUUCGGCAGAGAUGCUGAUGUUAACAAUAAAUGCAGGCUGAAUGUUGUAUGGAAGGAUGAUCAUUUCGGCUUCUUGUAGCCAUUGAUGUUGUCUAAUGCUUGGAGAGACAUUGUUUAAUGUGACUUUGGACAAGGUUACUGAAGAUAGAACUAUCUGGCUUUAGGUCAGUUUUCAGUUGCUAAGACAGUGAAGCUCUUUCAUCUUCCUGGUAAUACUGUCCCUUGGUUCAAGCUUCUUUGGGGUAAGAAGCACAUCCCUAGUCAUGCUUUUCUUUCGUGGAUGGCUAUGAAUAAGAGUCUGAGAGUCAAAGCUAAACUGUACAAUCUUUAAGUGCUUUCGUCUUAUUUUGAGGUUUGGAAGCAAAGAAGCAGAGCGGAGUUUGAUUCCUUAUAUCAGAAAAAGAUAUAGGAAGACUCCCAGAAAGAAGAAAGCCUAGGAGCAAGCAAAGAAAGAGUAAGGAUCAGAAAGCUCCUAACCCCUAUUUAUUUAUGGAUGUGAAUUGAGCGAAGGCGCAAAGAAUAUUGCGAAGGUUAAAGAAUAUUGACUUGAUAAACCUCUAUUUAGCUUCUUAUAUCUGAAGACGAUAAAGUCAGAUAAUCAGCCUCCGGCUGGGUCGGAUCGUCCAUACCUAGUUGAGUAUCUCUGUCCGUCAUAACGAAUUCACUCUUUGAAAAAGGGUCGGGCUUUGUUGGAGUUGACUCGGUGAGUACACUUUCAUCUUUACGAGAAGAAGCGCGAACAACAACUAUAUUAUUCAGCGACAGACCUGAUUUACCCGAUGAGUGGAAUGACUCGACAAAAGUCUUAGGACUCGGGACAGACGCGCCUCCUUCCUGCUAGAACUCAUAGGUCUACGGGGUUCUUUCGGUAGCGAGAAUAGUGGUCCCAAACGGAAUAGAAGUACUUUUGAUUCACUGAAUCAUAAUCUUUGAAAGAAGAAAGGGGGACGGAGGAUCAAUGAAAUUUGAUGAUGAUGAGUAAGCUCUUGCUUUUCUUGCUCCUCUUUCUGAAGUUGCGAGAGGUUCAAAAUAUCCUUAUCAAUGAUUGGAGUGGUUGUUCCGGUUGCAACGUUGCUGUUGGAGUAGAAGUUGUAGCCCUUUCGGUGAGGUGCAAAUGCUCGACCUCGACCCAUUGGCAUUAGUUGAGGAUGCACUAUCCCUGAUUAUUUUUUAGGAGAAAGCCUCUUUCGUCGGGUUUAGGGGAAAAGACUAAGAAUGAGGUCCCCUCCCCCCAGUUGAGGAACGAGGGCAAAAGCGAAGCCUAUGAAGUGAGUAUGAGCUCGUUCGACCCCCAUGUAGCAGGAAUAGCACCAUCUUCUCUCUUUCAUGAGUAGUUCACUGCACUCAUUAGUAGCUGGACCAAGAGGUUAUUCACUCUAUGAUCUCCUGGACUGGAAUAGGCGCUCUCCCAUAGCAAGAGGGAGCUCGACGUAGUCGGUCUUUCGACAGUCACAGUAAUUGAGAGAAGCAGCUGCCCGGGAGAGGGAGGUAUCGGAUUAGGCACGAAGAGAGGAUUAGUCGAAUCGACUGUAAGAAGAGGCAUCCGUUCUUGUGGCAGUAGCAGUUGCAGAAGUUGAAUCGUCAGUGGCUGUUCUUGUUUAAGAAAUAGCUGCAGCUAUUCCCACCAAGGCCUGACGAUAGGCUGAUUUCAGGAUUUCCUAUCCAUCCUCAAAUUCUUUGAGCCUUUGUUACAAGAAAAUACUCUUUAGUGACUCAAGAAUACCCUGUCUUAUGGCACCUCUCAUCUGGAGCCUUUGUUUUUAAACAAGUCAAAUUCUCUAAUGGAUAGCCUGAAUUCAUGAAUAUUGAAUUGAACCUACUAAAAUCAAAGGAAUAAAGAAAGAGCUCAAAAGGAGUCAAAAUGAGAAGUCCGAAACCUCAUCACCUACUCCCGGAGGCAAGGUGAAAUUCAAUAUGACGAAGUCUUAUAGUUGGGUCUCAUCCCCCCAUAAUCAAGUAGCAUCCACUAAAAAGAGCGGAGCGCGGAAGGACGAGGCGCAAUUGAAAUAUGCCUGAAUGAAUCUACCCUUUUUAGAUUCGACUACUCCGCUACGUGGGCUUACUAGUAAUGCUGAAGUUUCCUCCUUUUCUAGCUUUCUUUCUAAUGCCCUUCUUUAUGGUCAAGUGUAUGGUCACUUCCCCGAGGCGCGGAUCCCACUACACGGGAAUAUAUUAUGAUAUAAUGAACUAUCUUCUUUCUAAUAGCUGGUUUCAACAGCCACCGGGGAGGAGACAAGAACUCAAUCUACUGAAACAAGGUUUCAACCACAGCGAGAGCAUACCUCAAAAAAAUAAGGAAGAAAAAGAUAAAGGCGCGAAGCAAAGCCUAUGAAGUCAUAAGGGCAAGGGCUUUCCGUGAACUUUCUUAUGAUGGGAAAUCCUUGUUUCAUUUGCGAGACACAUUUCAUUCGUAGAAAUACCACUUCCUACUUCCUCAUCCCGACAAUAAAGAAAGCACUACGCGGGACAAAGUAGAUUCCCAAACUAAAAGGAAAGACUAAAAUCAAAGCUCCAGAUGAGUUGAAUUGAGGUGCAAUGAAAUAUGCCUUUCAGCAGUGUGCGAAUUCGCUCUUUCGGCUGAUAACCUUUCGAUCCAGAAAGCACUACGCGGAAGUUCCCCACUACGCGGCGCGAAGCGACUGCCCACUUUUUGAAAAGAAAUAAAGAGCGCAGAACAAGGUUCAGUUAAGCUUGAUAAAUCAGUCCUUCGCCUAAGAAUAAGGUUCAAAGAAUAUUGAACUCAUGAAAUCAAUAUCCCUGUCUUAUGGGGCCUUCGUAGCUUAAUAAUGGGGAUCUGGUUCAAUUAUAAGGCUCAAAGAAGAUUGAGAAAGAAUAUUGCAAAAUCAAGGCGGCAAAGAAAAGGUGAAUAUGGAUUCGUACGAUUAGACUUGACUGAGAAUGGAAUUGCUUUAGCUAUCUUUUUUUUCCGUCUUUCAAGGUGGAAGCUAAAUCAGAAUAGUUUCUAGUUGAAGGCAAGCAAGCUAGGGUUGGUUCGUAUUGACAAAGAGCUGGACUUCUAAACUUUCAAUGGGUACUGGAGUACUACUUUGUCAAUCGAUGCUUAAUACUAUCUUUACGCAAAUAAAGGCCGAAGAAUGAGGCUAAGUCUUCUAUUUAGUGGUCUCGCUUUGCACCUUGCUGAUCUCAUUUCAAAAAUGCUUCGCCUGCCUCUUCUUGGAUUCCGUGCACGAGUAAGUACCCGUAAAUCGUAAAGAAAGAGGGGGGGUAGUUACCUGCUCUUUCAUCGAGAUUGGCGAAUUACGGUAGAAGAUAGAAGAGGUUCGAGGAUCAAAGUAUUUGAGCUUUGCUAUUACUUUCAUGCUCCUCUUAGAAGGAAGAUAAGCACGAUAAGCUGGCCUAUAUCAUUGCUUAAUUCAUGCUUUCUUCGUACUUCCGGAAAGAAAUCUCACUCAUUUCAUUCUAUCACAUAAUGAGAACUCUAGAAAAGAAAUUGCUUACUUCAUGCUUUCUUCGUAUUUAUUUCCAAUCCAUCUUUUGUCUAUGACGAUCGGUACGAAAGGAAGGCAUGCUCGCAGGGGAUUCUUAUUACUAAUAGAUGAUAAGAUAAUACGAGAAUGAAAGAGGUCGAGCGCCUCACCUCUGAGUCUGAUUGUUGGAGUAGUCUGAUGACUCCCACUGGUCGUCUUUCAACUCAUUAAAUCCCCUAUCUUUUAUGGCGGUCUUACCGGAAUAUCUACUUUAUAGAAUUCCUAUGAGACUAAGAAACAAACUGAGACCUCGUAGUCUUCCUGUUCCCGGUCGAUCCUAUGAUCGAUCUCAUACAAAGAUCUCAUCUCAUCGACUAAAAAGACUCUUUCUUCUUAGUUUGAGCUUGAGGCGCGUCCAACCCACUACGCGGUAAGCUUUUCCUCUUUUCCUCUCACUUCAAGACUCAAGACCUUACCCGCACCGAGUCAAUCCGAUCGCUACCUUUCCGGGUCGUAUUCUAGUAAUUAAUUUCAUUAAUAACUCAGAGCGGCGAUCUAAAUACUUCUUCAGCAAGAACUUCGAAGAAGGUAGAGGAACUGAAAUGGAUUCACUUCCGCAGGCAGCAUCCCUUUCAACGACGACUCCCCGAGAGACCCGCUUCAAACUUCCGAUUUAGAAAGAAGGUAUCUCAGUCUCUUACCGCGUAGUGGGCUGAUCGUGAGAGAUGGAAUCUUCAACCUCUUAUGGAAAUGUGUCCAGCGGAAGUAUUUACGUAAGAAAUUGAGAACCAGGCGAGAGGAGAGGGGUGAGGAUCGAGCGCAUUCCCUAUCGAUCAGCAUCCUCAACUCUACUUCAGAGCUAGAAAGGUUUCGGAAUUCAGAGGCAAGAGCAUUCCUUCCUCUUCUUUAGUCAAGUCAUUUCAUUCCAUUUCUCACUAGGUCUAUAGAAAUAGUUCAUGGCCACUAGGUCUCGUCAUAUUUUUUCUCAAGAGAUGAGAAGAAAGUUCCUAAUAGAAUAUGUUUGAAUAUCUCAACUAGAAAGUCUCGGAUUAACUCUUCCCAUAGCGUAGCCGCGGCGGAAAAGGAAGAUUUUCAACAGUCAAGAGAUCAAUCAGAAGGGAGCGGAAGAAUGGAUAUUGUCUUCGAUCUUGCGAUAAAAUGAGUGAGACCAUAUGCGAUCUGUCUCAAACAGAGAAUUAGUAAUCUGAGUCGCAGGGAAUAGGUUGAAUAGUCCGGAGGACGGGGAGAAGAAAAGAGAGGUUCCGAGGUUCAAAGAAUAUUGGACAAAGAAUAUUUCAUGAAUUGAGGUGCGGUAGUCCGUCCGAAGGACUAUGAAAUCCAUUAGUUUUCGUUUGCACUCCUUUCUUCUUUUCUUAGAUAUUCUGGGAUUGAACUCCGUCUGAAAUCUAGCAGAUUCAUUUUUAGCUUCUUUCAUUCUCGUUAAUGAGCACUUGAACUGUCUUUCUCAGGCGCAAAAAAUAUUGCCGAGAAGAGCAAAGAAGGAAUGGCGAUCAGAAUUGAGUCCUUUCAUACUUUCGUUGAGGAGGAGGAGUUUUUUCUUGUAUCAUAUUAGGAUAUUUUAGUAGAAUAAGAAGAAGAAGAAGAUAAGUACGUAGCGGGCUUUUCUUAUGGCGGAGCGGAGGAGUCCGACUAUCCACUGAAGAAAGUAGGAAAGCCUAAGGAACCUAAAAAGGGCUAAUAGGGGAAGGAAGAAAGCCUAUCCCUCCAGAAUCUUUGAGGACCGAAGGACUUCUUUAUAUCCCUAUUUAUUUAUUUAUGGGACUCCCAGAAAGGUUUAGUUCCAUAAAUCAGUCGGCUAAUAUAUAGGAUGAAAGUAGAUAGAGAGGAAAAGAAAAAAGUCGUCACUCUUAAGGAGUGCAAGAAGGAAUCUUUGAACCUUUUAUCCUGAUCUCUCUCAUUCUACAACUCAGUCGAGCCACUAUUCAACCUUCUUUUCGAGGGGACAUCAUGUCCUCUUAUCUUAAUCCCAUAAAUCAUUUAAGGCGAUACUGAAAGAAGAAAUCCAGCAACUUAAUCCGGUAGAGUCAAUUCGAGACUAAGACGAGUUGGGGUUUCGACCAUAGGCUUUCCUUCCAAACCUACUAUACUAAACCUACCCCCGGACUCAAGGCGCGAAGUGAAGCGGCUGCCCACUUUUUAGAAAUAAAGAGCUGAGAUAAUUCUUUUCACUCAUUGAGGUCGGCUAAAUUCAAUGGAUAAAGAAGUCCUUUGCUUCAUUCUAUAUGUCCUUAUCAAUGAGACCAUUAAUCAGUCCGAAGGACUAUCCAAAGAAAAGAAUAUCCCUGUCUUAUGGGGCCUCCGUAGCUUAAUAUGGAGCGCUCCGGACGAGUCUUAACUAAUAUUCCCAAUCAAAGAAUUAUCGAAAGAAUGAUCGACGAGUCUUAUUCCACUAAAAUAGUAGUCCUUCGGAGCAGUCUUAAUACUCCUAAAAUCAAAGCUCCAGAUGAGUUUCAUUCCACUAAAAGACGAAAGAAGGUAUCUCAGUUACCAAAGAGAAAGAGCUUCCACAAACCACUUCCACAUAAACUUCUGCUAAGUCUACUUCUGUUAUUGAUUCAACUUAGCCUUUAAUCAGAUUAGGACCUAGCUAGCCAACCUUAUUCCUUCCUCUUCCUUACUUUGUUCUCGCUUGCUUCGGCAACACAUCUUUGGAUACUGGAUAAGCUGCAAGAGAAAGACUUCUUCCGAUCGAUCAGCUACCCGAUUCCUCCUUCCCCGAUGAUAAGGUUAGCAGGCCCGAUCCUCUCCUAUUGAAAAAGAAAGCAGAAAUCUUUCAGUCCAGAGUAUUUAUCCGUAGCCCGGAGGAUUUAUCCGUAGGACCAUCUGUAAUUAACCGAAGUAGUCUGCAGUCUGAAGUCCGCAGGAUUUAUCCGGAGGACUAUCCAUUAGAAGUAGGACCAUCCAUAUGGAAGGAAGUAGUCCAGAAUCCGCAGUCCGCAGGAUUUAUCCGUAGGACUAUCCAUUUUCAGUCGGACUAUCCAUAUGGAAGGGAGCGAAAUCUAGCUAUGAGGACUCUUUGAGCUCUUCUUUGAGUCAGUGGCUGCCCUUCCAGAAGGAGCAGCGAAGUCCGCGGUUUCAGAGGUUUAUGUAGCAGUUCUUCUUUAAUAAGAUGCUUACUUUCUUUCGGGUAGAAAGGUUCACUCGUGAACGCACUACUACAGAAAUUGGUUUACUUGACGUUAAUACAAUGUCAAGUAAAUGUAUACUUGACGUUUUUAAAAGCGUCAAGUAUUCGACUGUCAAGUAUAGUUACAUUACUUGACACUAAAAAACUGUCAAGUAUACGUUUACUUAACACUGUAUUAACAUCAAGUAAUCGACUGUCAAGUAUAGUCACAUUACUUGACACUAAAAUAUUGUCAAGUAUACAUUUACUUGAGACUGUAUUAACGUCAAGUAUUAUAUCAUACUUGAUGUUUAUUACGUGUCAAGUAAGAUCAUACACAUGACGCCUUUUACAUGUCAAGUAAAGUCGUAUACUUGUCAAUUUUUGCACUUCAAGUAAGAUUGUAUACUUGACACUAUGUAUCCGUCAACUAAGAUGAUAUACUUGACACUAUUUAUCCGUUAAGUAAAAUAGUAUAUUUGAUUCUAAGAUAGUAUACUUGACAUGUAUCUAACGUCAUGUAUACCAUUUAUUAAUAUAUUAAAUAUAUAAAAAAUUUCAUUUCCUGUUUUCUGUAUUACGUACAUUCAUUUCAAUAAAACAUAUUCAUCGACAAAAUAAACUCUCCAACUAGUAGUUACACAAAAAAUAAUUUAGUAUAAGUAAACCAACAAUAAUUUUAUUACUCUCAACAACAUCGUCAACAAUUACACAAUUCCAAUCCAAUAUAGUCAACUAAAAUUUCCUAUAUGUGGCCUAUUCCAAAAUCAACAAAAUAAUUAUCUUAUAUAACCAAAAACAUGUGUGGUAUACCAAAACUAAAAUCUAUCCCUUUACAUCUAUUGCAUGUACAUAAGCAUAAUAGCUAUGAACGAAACAUUUACAAAAAAAAAAAAAAAAAGUUAUGGGCAUUCCCAUAUAUUAGUCAUUCACAAAAUUAAUAAGAUCACAUCUAAGGAUGUCUAUCAUAUGUACAAAGCUAAAAAUUUAGCCCACUCCGCUCAUACUUCAUCCAAUUCAAGCUGUGAGUAGAAACUCUUGUAUCAGUCUAUAAAACAUAAAAAAUCAAGUAGACAUUUGUUAAAAAUAAAAAUUAAUCAGAUAAGUAACUUAUUUCCAUCAUAAAAAAAUAAUCCCCUUGUAAAAAAUUCUACAUUGUAAGGAGGAUAUUGUAAACCUAAACAUGAAUAUUUAAACCUAUAUGAAACUAAGUACAAACAUAAAUUAGAAAACCUACACUAAAUAAAUAUUGUUAAUGCUCAAAAACAGUUAAAAAUUAACUUAAAGAAUACCGUAUAACUUAAGCAAGUUUCCCAGAUCAUAAUACACAAGAGUACCUAUUCAACUGAGUUAAGUGCUUCAACACCUCCCCGCAUCUGCAAAGAAAAACAUUACAAGAGUAAAGGGAGAGACAAAAAAACGAACUUCCUUUGAUCUUCUUACAACAUUCACAUUUAUCAAGCUCCACUAAAUCACUAAUAAACCAAGAGGACACUAUUGCUUACCUAUUUAUUGCAGAGAAUCUGGGUUCAAGACAAAAAGAACAAAAUAAUUAUACACCAAAUAUUUUGAAGAUUAUUGAAUAGAAAUGUGUAUAUUGUUCACGUGAAAAUUUCACCUACCAUUCUGCAAAUCAAAACAAAUUCUUUGAAUGAAACCAAAUCAUCGAUGAACUCUCACCACCCUGAAUAAAAAACCAACGAAAUCAAUCAAAGAAAACAAAUACAUUGAACUCAAAAAACAAAAAAGAAAAACUCUCAUCCUCUAACAUUCAGUAGUGAACGAAAAAGGGAAGAAAAUCAGAGGGGGGCGGCUUUUCGGUGAGAAGAAAAUCAGAAGGGGGCGUGUCCAGUGAGGAGAAGGGAGAUCGAGAAGAACUCCAGUGGUGAAGAAAUUCGGUGGGGGCCAUUCCACGUGAAGAAAAUCAAAGGGGAAGGGGGCUUUUCGGUGAGAAGAAAAUCGGAAGGGAAGGGGGACACGUUCGGUGAGAAGAGGGGGGCGAGAAAAGAAAUUUGGUGGAGGGUCGUCUGACGUGAAGAAAAUAAGAGGGGGCUUUUUAGUGUGAAAAAAAUCGGAAGGUUGCGUGUGAUAAGGGAAGAGAGGCAGCAUGUGAGAGAAAAUAGGAAAAAGGAGGGAAAAUGAAAAGAGGGAAAGGGUUGGGGAAAAAAAUUUGGGAAAUAAGUUAGGUUUUUUUAGAAAUAGAGAAAAAUGGAAAAUUUAGAGAAAAAAAGAGAAAAAAGUUUUAGAACUUUAGGAUGAAAAAAAUAAUUGGAAAAAAAAGGGAAAAGUUUUUUUUUUUUUUUAGAAAAUAGAGAAAAUAUAUAUUACUUUUGAUAUUUUAAUAAGUUUAUUGUAAUAAUUUUAUUUUAAUUAAUUAUUUAAUGAAAGGAGGGAAAUAAAAAGUAUUUUAUAUUUUUAUACUUGAUAAAAUAAAAAUGUUAACUAUACUUGACGUUAUUUCUGCAUCAAGUAAACAUUAACUAUGUUUGACGUGAAAAAAAUGUCAAGUAAAAGUUGAACUAUACUUGACACUAAAACACCGUCAAGUAAAUUCGACACUAUACUUGACAUGGAAAAAAUAUGAAGUAAAAGCUAAUGUAAGAUAAUUAAAAAAUUUCAUGAAAAUUUUGCUUUCUUUAAACUAUACUUGAUGUUUUGUUCGUGUCAAGUAAAAGUUCAUUAUACUUAGCGCAAAUAAAACGUUAAGUAAAAUCUCCCUUAUACUUAACGAGAAAAAAACGUCAAAUAAAAGCUAACUUAAAAUAGUUUGAAAAAUUUCGUAAAACUCCACUUUUUAAAAACUAUACUUGACGUUUUUUCUUUAAAAUGGUCAAUACUUGACAUUUUUUUAAUAAAAACGUCAAGUAUGUAAAAGUACCUAGUGUCAAGUAAAGUAGAUUUUGUAGCAGUGACGGUACACCUCUUAUAUGAUGCCUGGGGACUUUGUCCCUUCUUCUACGGAUUUCUCUUAUAUGAUCUUAUUCAUCUCCGUAUCGUUCAUAUAUUCAUUCUAUAAAAUCCCUAGCUGCCACAGAUGGUCGAACUUGCCUCUUAAGUGGCGUGGGUCGAUCCUCUUGUUGACUUUUACCUAGGAGUGGGGGGAAGAAGUUCGAGAAUAAUUUCUCUUCUUUCCCUGUCCCAGUUCUUCUUUCCACUUCUACUUAAGUCACCACGACUGAUACAGAUGCAAGAACAUCAGGGCGAGCAGGGAAGAGGCGGAGGGAGUUUGCACUUUUUCAUGCGGGUUUGAGUGAGACUGAUGCGCCCUAGGUCAAGCCAUUGCUUCGUCUUGUUCAUCACAUUCAUUAUGUUCACAAUUCCGGAAUCAAAGUAGAAAUACGAGAAAGCGCUCCAGCGGACUCUAAUUCAUUGGGAAUUCUAUCUUCCCGCCUCAAUGAACAAGGUGAAAAGAAUAUUAAAUGAAUCAUUGAGUUAAGGCGGUGGAACCUAGGAGUGGGACCGGGAACAUGAUAGGCUUCAAUCUAAGAAGUGAAUAUAGUAUUGAAAGAGGCCCACGGAGCGAUGUCCGACUAUCCUACUAUCGAAGCCUUGAAGCAUGAGUCUUGAGGUUUUCAAAGUCUACUCAGAGGACGAGGUUGAAGUUUCAUAGGGAAAGGUUUCAUAACAAGCAGUUGUUUUCCGUAUCGAAUGCUCUUUCAUUCCUUAUUCGAAAGAAGGCAAAGAAAGUGGAAACUAAAUCCUUGGAUUCUUUCCCGCUUGAACCAUGAAAGGUUAGGCCUUAGUUACGAUCUCAUUCAAUGCCCUAGCAUACUCAAAGGUUCGGGGCGUAGUGGAUGGAGCUAGAAGACUACUACUUGGACGAGGGAUUUCCUUUCUCUUAUUGUAAUACUCCUAACCACCCCUUUUUGAAUGGGCAGGCCCCUCUGGUCGAGUUUACCCUUUUUAUUCAGGCCUAUCUGCCUCCGUUCAUGAAGGACAAAAUCGGAUUGAGCCCUUGUUCAUUGAGGCGUAUAAGCCCACGUAGCGGUGCCAUAAGACAGGUCUGAAGGCGUCACAGGUCCGGAGGACCCGUCUGUCCGAAGGACGAGAUAUUUAUAAUGUUGAGAGAAAGAUUAGACUUUGUCAGGACCCUUAUUUCCGUUAUUUUUCACUUUCAAUAUUCUUAAGAAUAUUCAUUCAUCCGACAGAGCAAAGUUCAUCCAGAUCCCCAUAUGAAUUAGGCGAAGGACUGAUUUUCAAAGUCAGAGCUAUCCCUCAAAUUCUUUGAGCCUCUGCACUCAAAUUCUCUAAUGGAUAGUCCUUCAGACCGCUAGGAGUAAAGAAUAUUGUGUGGAACUGAACUAAUAUGGAAAAAGCAUUUCCUAUUGAUUUCUCCCCUGGACUGGACCUAUUCUGAUUCUGAAUUAUCCGUCGCUACGUUGUUCCCAUGGACUAGCAAAAUCGAAAUAGCGAAAUUCUUGGGUCAUCUCAAUGGGUUCAGAAACCACACGUUUCUCUGGAUCAUCAUAGCGUACUUCCACAUAUCCACUCAGAGGAAGGUCUUUUGUAAUGGAUGACCCUCGAAACCAUAAUAUGUUGAUAUACGGCGUAGAUCCGGAUGAUUGAUGGAAGAAACACCAAACAUAUCCCAAACUUCUCGCUCCCACGGCCGGCUGAUGGAAAUAGACUGACUACCGGAGAGAUUCGUGUUACUUCGUCUGCACUGGUUUGUACACGAAUGCGUGAGUUAUACCGAGUACUCAGUAAAUUAUAGACCACUUCAAAUCUGAGUUUUCUAUAUAUAUUUAUAUUGAUGUUAAUAUGUUACCUUGUAAUUGGAAUGGUGAUUUGAAUAAUCUAAUAGGAUUAUGUGUUUGGAUCAAAAUAUGUUGCAAGAGAAAUAGCUAAAUGUGUGGAUUUAGUGACAAAGAGGGUAUUCAUGUGUUUAUUUUAGUUUUCUCAGUGAGGACUCGAUUUUUAGAAGAAACGACCACUGUUCGAAUCAUUCAAAACUUUGUUCCGAACAAAAAUUUUGGACUUUGUCAUUGUCCUCUUCGUCGAAUGUGACAAACUUGAAGACAACGAUGAAACAUUGAAAGAUUACUUGGAUCGAAAAUGUCCUGUGGGGUUGAAAGAUACCAUAGCCGCUAGCAAGAACUGUUGCUUGGUUUUCAAUAACAAAACCGAUAAUGAAACAAAGAAGAUUGAAUAAGUGGAUAAACUUAUAAAGAUGGUGCAUGAAGUUGUACAACAAAAUGAAGGAAAAGCAUACACUCAUGGCUUGUUUUCUAAUGUCAAGUUUGAGACCAAGUUGCAAGAUGAUGUGAAAACCAAGCUUGAACACACAAUUACAGUUCAAAACACAAGCAAAAUUUAAAGCAUAACAAGGAGCACAAGAACUUCAACAACAAUCUAUUGAUCAAAUUCGAGUCCUCAAAGACCAUCUAUGCAUCAAGACUUGAAAGGUCACUGUCACUACCAAUGCUUCCACAAAUUAUUCGUCAUGGUCGCUGCAUGAGAAAAGGUUGCAUUAUUGUAUGACUUUACUGUGCAUGCAUUCAAUAAAUAUGUACAAGUAAUUAGUAUAAUGAAUAUAUACUAAAUAAAAAUAUGAAAAAACUGUGAAAAAAAACUUAUUUGAUUAACUGCUAUAAAAAUUAAUAUUUGAAAAUUGGCAUGUGUUCUCGAAACUAAUAAAAGCAAGUUUGGAAAUGCCUUUAUUUUGUCUUUGUUGAGUGUAGUGUAAAUUGGCAAAUAUAGAAUGCUUAAUUAUGUUGUUAAUUAAUAGAAAAUUAUUUUAGAAGUUUUGAUGAAUGUCCAACUACAUGUGGAAAGAAUUAUAAAGGAUUGAAAAAUGAUUCUAUAAUCUAGCCCAAACAAGAGGUGGGUUAUUAUAGCUCACUUCACUUCUAUUUAGUUUGGGACCCAAAUAGCCUCUUAAAAUUAGGUUAACUCCAUAACUAAUAAGGGUCUUUAACUCAUAUAGUCUAAAUGCUAUAUGAUAUUACAUGAAUGAUCCAAAUUACUAAUAAAUUUCAUAAAAGUCCUAAAUGGACUAGUAUAUUACAUAAAUGUAGGCUCAAAUUACUUUAAUACCAAUUUAUAUUAUUUAAUUGAUUUAUAACAAAUAUCUAAAUGAAAAAAACCGUGGGAUAUAGUUUUGGAAAGAAGUGGGGUCCAAAUUAAUUUAAUAUCAACUUCUAUUAUUUAAUUUAAUUGAUUUAUAACAAAUAUCUAAAUGGAAAAAAUGGUGGAACACCGUUUUGGAAAUAAGUGGGGUCCAAAAUAAUUUAAUACAAAUUUUUAUUAUUUAAUUGAUUUAUAACAAAUAUCUAAAUGGAAAAAAUAAAGAGAUACAGUUUUGGAAAGAAGUGAAAAACUUUUCAUGCUUUCCUACCACGAAAAUGGUUGUCUACUCCUUUCAACGUGGAUUACGAUUUUUACUUCAAAAUUUUAGAGAGUUCGGAGGUGAAGAAGAAGACAGUCGACGACCGACAAAUACAAAACUUCUCGAACAUAAUCUAGUUAAAAACUUUGAAGUUAGUAUUGUAUAUAUUCAACACAUAUGAAACAUUAGAUAUAUUAUGUAUAUUUUAGAUAUUCAAUUAAAUAGUCAAUCAAAUGAAAAUGUAGUUUUGAAUGUGAUACAUUUUAGGGUUUAUUGAGAUUUCGGCGGUGAAGAAGAAAACUUUUGAUGGCCAAAAAAUACAAAACUUAUCCGACAGAAUCUAGCUAGAAAAUUUGUGCUUAAUAUUAUAUAUAUUCAAAACAAAUGAUUAGAAACAUUUAGUAUAUUAGGUAUAUUUUAAAUAUUCGAUUAAAUAGACAAACAAAUGAAAAUAUAUGAAACAUUUGGUAUAUUAGGUAUAUUUUAAAUAUUUGAUUAAAUAGACAAACAAAUGAAAAAUUAGUUUUGAAUGUGAUACAUUCUAGAGUUUAUUAAGAAUUCAACGUUGAAAAAGAACGGUCAUCCUAUCAAAAAAAUAAUAGAACUAUAUAUAUAAUAUGAGGUAUAUAUAUAUAAACAUAGAACAUAACUAUUAUAGAUUACGGAUAUAUUAAAGUAUAAUGUAAUCAAAUACAUUUAUAAAGGAAAAAUAUGUAUGUAUGAUCAUGUCGUUUACUACCGUUUUAGUAAUAUUUAUUCUACAAACACAAAUUAUGUAGGAAUUAUGUAUAAGGUAUUAUUGUAUAUAAUAUGAGGUAUAUAUAUACUAAAUAACAUAUAUGAAUUAAAGUGUAUAUUUUAUUAGUGAAAGGUUCUUAUAUCAAUUUGUUUAUGAUUUUUAUUUAAAUAUUCAUAUAUUAUGUAGUAAAUAAUACGUUAUGUUUGAAAUAAUAUUGAUUAUGUAUUAAAGUUGCCCAUUAGACAGUUUUUUAAUAAAAUAUACCUAUUAUAUUAAUAUAGAAAAUGGGAGGAAAUCGUGCAACAUUAAAAUAGGAAACUUCUUUACCAUUUUCUCACUUUCCAUAUUCAACGAAAAGCUUGCCAUUUCGACAGUCAAUGACAUAUACAACAUAUUAUAUAAUGCGAUAAUAUUAUAAAACUAGUAUAAUCAUAAAUAAGAUGUGAUAUAUAUUUAAGGGAAAUAUUAAAAAACUGAUAAAUUCAUAAUAGAAUAACGUUAAAAUAAGGAGAAUAUUGUUAAUAUAUAAUAUAUAUACGCAUAUGAUAUACUCAUAAUGAACUAAUUUUAAAUGGGUAAAAUAACAAAUGACAUAUUUAUGUUAUUCUUCAUAUAAAACAUCAACUAAAAGUAUUAUAUCUCACGGUUAAUAUAUAAAACUAUUAUAAAUGUAAACAAGAUGUGAUAUAUAUAUAUAUAUAAUAAAUCACAUAUACAACCUAUUAUAUCAUCCGAUAAUAUUCUAAAAUUAGUAUAAUCAUAAAUAGUAUGUGAUAUAUGUUUAAAGGGAAUAUUAAAAAACUGGUAAAAUCAAAAUAGAAUAACAUUAAAAUAAGAGGAAUAUUGUUAAUAUAUACUAUAUAUACGCAUAUGAUAUACUCAGAAUGAACUAAUUUUAAAUGGGCAAAAUAACAAAUGACUGUGGAUUUUAUCUUAUCUUCAGGUGAUGGACAAUUGUAUAUGACGGCGAUUUGUUAAGAUUCUGCAGCUUACGGUUAUGAUAAAUUUGAAUACAAAUUUAUAAAACAAUGUAAUAAGAAGUUCAAAUGAUGGAGAAGAAUAGCAAAAAAAAGCUGUCGGCGAUGGAGAAGAUAAUGUAAUGGCUGCCAGAGAGAGUGAACAAUUAGGUUAAGUUAUAUUUUUAGAAAGAAUAAUUAAAUAGUUUAUUACAAAAUAAAGUAAAAUUACAAUUAUUAUAAUAUAUUCUGAUUUAUAAUUAAUUUAAAAGAUACUUGAAAUUAUUAACAUAUUAAGGUCUUUUGUUUAAAAGUUUCAACUAAUAAUAAUGAUAGUUCUCAUUAACCAAUUGACAAAUGAUUGAUAUUGUCAAAUAAUCGAUAUUGUCAAAUGAUCGAUAUGUGCAAGUGCACAUUUCAAUUAUAAUAUAGUAAAACGUUCUUAGAGAUCGAGCUAGUAUCCUUUUAAGAGGGAUCAAAUUAACAAAUUAAUUUAUUGAUUUUAGGAUUAGAUGUGUUUUAAGGAUAAAAACAAUGAUUAGAAACUAAUAAAAGAUCCCUAAAAGACAAAUAUGAAAUCUCAAAGAAUAAAAAAUGCUCCAAAAUUGUAUUUGAUUUCACUGUUCAAUCCAUAAAAUCAUGAUGUGUAUAGGUUAUAUGAAAACUAGUGUCAGUAUGUGUUCAGCUCAAGUUGUUGACUUUUGAAAAAAAUAUCUUUCCAUUCAAACAUAUACAUAGUUUGGUUGGUAGUUUUUCUUCAAAAUUAUUAUUUUGAGAAAACAAAUACAAUUUCUUUUUUAGGUAAUCCAAUAUCCUCGAGUAUAUUUAAAUAUGGAAAUAUUAUUUCCAUAUUAGAAGAGAUACUAAAAGAUCUUAUUAUAACAUCAUUAGAGUCCCAUCAUUUUCUCUAAAUAUCUCUUUUGUGGUGAAAGAUUUGGAAUUGCACAUCAAUCAUUUUGGAAUGGGUAAUUGAUCACCCUAUUUUUCAAAAAAUAAGAAAGAUAAAAAAUAGUUAUUUUUUUUAAAGAUAUAUUUGAAAGUGUUGAGUUUAUGGAAGGUAUUAGUACUUAUACAACCACAAACAUUUGAUUUUUGUUAUCUAAAUUAUUUUAAUAAAAAUGUUUUUUUUUUUUUGAAGUUUAUGCUUAUUAAAAAUGCUUAUUUAAAAAAUGUUAAUGAAAUUUUAAAAAAUAAAAUCUAAUUAAACACUUCUGAGAUAGAGAGGUUUCCCUUGACUACCCGAGCGUAGAUAAACACUUCUGAGAUUUGGUUGGUAAUCCCAAGUUCGUGUGCAGUUGAUUAUUUUUUAAAUUUUGUAUAGUUGAAUAAUAUUUGAAUUUUAAAUUUUCAUCUAUGUGAUAUUUACUCAUUUCAAACUUUUUGAAUAUGCAUGUUUAUUUAUUAUUCUGCCGUCUCUCUAUUGUAUUUUAAAAUUUAGAAUAUGUGUAUUUAUAUUAUUUGAAAUUGAAAAUUUAACUUUUGCUCUUACAGUAGGCUUUAACUCUUUGUUUGUCCGUGUUGUAGGUGAGAGAGAAGGAAAAGUUCCAUUGUUUGAUUGAAUUGGAAUUGUUUCGUGCAUGGGGUGUCAUACAUAAUUCCACUUAUUACUAGUUGAAGGUCUUCUUUGCCUCUGUCUUCUUCCCCAUCUCCCCAAGUUGUUCUAACCUUUUUAUAUCUACCUAUUACAUGUCAAAAGGUUGUUUCGCUCUUCAAUGUUUUGAAACAAGUUCAUUAUGAAAAUCUCUCACAAGCAAACGUCAUGUGCAUUAUGAAUAAUUUCAUCUCAAAAAAAUUGUUUGAGAGGUUUCAAAAGUGUAUCGAAACUAAUAAUUUUAAUGAAUAAAAAAAUAAUUCUUCGUUAGAUUCUUACAUUUUAUUUCAACGAAUAAAAUUUAGGAAAAUUUUUAAAAAUAGCAAAUUUUACAAAAAUAUUUACAAUUUAUAACAAAUUUAUAGUCAUUGAUAUGCUAUAACGAUAGUUACUAGUAAAUAUUUUAAUUUAUUUUGUUAUUUUUAAAAAUGCUCAUAAAAUAUUAUAGUGAGGGAACAAUGAUGAAUCACAUAGUUUUCUUGUGGUGAUGUCGCUUUUUAUCCCUCUUUACAUUCUAAAAUCUCAAAUACAAAUCAUAAAACAAGUAGAUAUACAUUCAAUUAACAUGAUUUUGAUUCUAAUAAAUUAGAAAGACAAAAAUAACUAACUAAUUAUGGAAAAGUAAUAUUUUAACAUGAAUUAUUGAUUUUUAAUUAGAGGUAAUUUUAAAAUAAAUAAAAUAAAAGAAAAUAUUACAAAUCAAAUCUAAACUAACUUUGAUUUUACUUCUUUAAUUGCAAUAUAACAUAGAUACAUUGGCUAUGAAGUGCAAUUUCUUAUAUUAUAAUAUUUAAAAGAUUUAAAUUUAAAAAUAAAAAUAAGUAAUCUCAAGUCCAAUAUUGGACCUGUGGGGCUUAGCCCAUCAAUUUAAAAAUUCAAAAUGCACACUCAACGGUCACAUUUUCCUAGGAUCAUCCUAUUUAAUGCCCUUCUACUUGUCAACUCCAUCGAAAUCCUUCAUUUCUUGUGGCACCGUCUAAAAUUUGCUUCGAUUGAAGAAAUUUUGACGCCCAUGACAGCGUUGAAAUUUCUUCAAUGCAAACAAAUUUUUUAUCUUCCUUUCAUCGAGGAUUUUCAUACCAUGUGAAGGAGAGAUCAGUUCCAUCAGUUCCAAGUCGUUCGUGAGUCAUCUUCUUUCCUGUGUAGUUUCAUCUCUUGAUUUUGGAUUGCUUGUUCAAGAUUUAUUUUCGAAUUUUGGAUUGUUUGCUAUUCGGAUAGGCAGAAGGUUUGCACGAUGAUAGAUCUGGAGUACCUGAAUCGUUUAUUGAUUCUGUAGUUUAAUCUUAUGAUUUUGGUGAUUUCGAAGCGUACAAUAUAAUCGUACUGUGUUAUGAAGUAAAUAAGAUUUUGUAGGGUUUUUGAAAGUUAAUUUAGAUAUUUCCUGCAUUUUAGUCUUGAUAGAUCUGGGUACCUGAACCGUUCAGGUUUGCAUGCUGUGAUUGUGUUGUUCUUUUUUGAUUUUGGAGAGAGUCCUUGGGUAAUUUUGAGGAUUGUUCUUUUUUUAGUUUUUUUUUGCAUGCAUUCAAACACACGCAUGGUUUUUAAACUGGGGUUCUUGAAUAUUUGUUGGUUUUCUCGAAUAUUUGCCGGUUUUUUUUUCUCAGAAGAAUUGAUCUUAUAUUUGUGUAUCUCUCUGUGCAACUUUAAUAUAAAGUUAUUAAGGAAGAAGAGAAAGGAGGAAGAAGGGAGAGAGAAAAGGUAGAAACGACCUAAUAGUAGGCAUGAGUAUUAAGAUGCAGCAGAGCCACCACUUAGUGGCGCUAAGGUUUAAUGAGCAAAUUGACAGUAGAAAAGGGUCCACAUCCAUACCUAAGUUACUAUUGCUCUGGGUUCUGUUGGUGGCAUUCAUUAGUAUGUUAAACUACAAAGAAAUGGAUGGGUGGUGUUAACAAAGUUAGAAGAAAGUAAGUUCUGGGAAGUAUGUGUGACCAGACGACAAAGAUGCUUCUGCCUCAACUUAGUGUCAGUGUCAAACUAUGUCCAGGCUUUGGCCAUUCUCAUUUCAUUUCCAGUACUUCAAAAUCGUAUCAGCAAUUGAUCAGGAAAAUGUGUUUCGAUUUCUGUCUUUUAUUAGUCUCGGUUAGUUAGGCUUAAGAGUAAGGGAUAUAAUUCAUUUUUCUUGUUUCAGCUAGAAAUUACGUCGAUGUCUUGAUUUUUAGUUUUUUUAGGGCUGUUUGGUUGUUUUUUUAGGGGUGUUUGGUUAGUUAGGCCUAAGAAGUAAGGGCUAGUGAAAGAGAAGCAUUUGAUUGUCCUACAAGUAUCUGAAUCGCCAAUGAAAGCAGAGGUUAUUUCCUCUGAAUUUCCACGAAUUGUUCAGGUUUGGAUUCUGUGAUUGUGUUGUUCUGUUGUUCUCUUUUUUAUUUUGGAGUGUUCUAGGAAAUUUUGAGGUUUGUUAUUUUUUAGUUUUUUUGGCUUGCCUUUAAUCACGCUCGUUUGGGAAUAGACAGGCUUCAGAGAAUGAAUCUCCUUUUUAAGGGUUCGUUGGGAGCGAAGUGACCAUAUGGCAUCCCUUUCUGCACCUGCUCAGUCUCUCUCUUGCCUUUUUCAUACUACAUAUUUUUGUUUCUCAAUUUAGUGUCAGUGUCAACCAUGUCUAUGCUUUGGCCAUUCUCAUUUCCACUUUCCACUACUCUAAAAAUGUAUCUGCAAUUGAUCAGGUAAAAGUGUUUCAAUUCUCUGUCUUUGGUUCAUCUCCGUUAGUUAGUCUUAAGAGUAAGGGAGAUAAUUCGUUUUUCUUGUUUCCCUCCAUGUAUUGAUUUUUAGUUUUUUAGGGAUGCUUGGUUGGUUUGAAUGCACGAAACAUUUGCUGGUACACGAUUCAAACAGCUUGCCCAGUCAUGUUUUUCUAUUUUUUUUUAAUAUUUUGGAAUUUUGCAUGUGUGAUUUCUGUAUAUAUUAUUCUUGCCCUUUUCCUUUAUCAUCAUUUAUUUUGAUUUUGGAGAGGUCUCUUGGUUAUUUGUUAUUUGCACAUAUACAAGGGUUGAAAAUUUCAAUCCCACCUCUCUUUUAUAUUACAUUCAUUUAGUUUUGGCUGUUAUCUAAUUGAACUAUUUGAUCAUCAAAUAAUUGUGUUACCUUUUCUUCUAGAUGUUUAGAUUCAUUUUUCUCACUAUUUUAGUUUUCUUAAUGUGUGACAGUCUUUGUUUUUUAUUGAACUAUUGUGUGGCAGUCUUUAUUUAUUGGUUAUCUUUAGUUUCACUAUUGUUCUUUUUUUAAUGUUUUCUUAGUUUUUAAUAAGUGUGACAAAAUAUGAAUUAAUUUUUUUCUUUGAACAAAUGUGGAAUUUAUUUUCUUUUAAUGUAGUUGUGUCCCCAAUAAAUUUAUUUUGGCGAUUUAACAAUCCAUCAUGUUCUUUUUCAUUUUUCUGUUGUAUUUUCUUCGGUUCUUUGUUGUGGUAUGUCUAUUUUUGAGACAUUCUUAAUUUAGUUUUAUUUCUUUUAGCUUCCUGCAUCAUUUUGUAUUAUGGAUUGUUAUGAAAUUUUGAGAUUAUGCUUUAUUUUGUUUUUUGGUCCUUUGCUGUGAUGUCUUUUGAUUAUUUCUUUUGAGUGAACAGUUCAUGUAAGAUUUUCUGCAUGAGAAUAAAUUGAUUAUUUAAUUUGGUCAAAGAAGUUCAAAAUUUACAUGUGAAAUUUACACUCAGUGGCUGUAAGGUUUAAUGAGAAAAUUGGAAGUAGAAAAGAGUCCACAUUAAUUCAUUCAGCCAAGAGGGCUUGGCAUCCUAAGUUUGCUCUGGGUUCUGUUGGUGGCAUUCAUCAAUAUGUUAAUCUAUUAGGGAAUGUAUGGUUAUAACAAAGUAAGAAGAAUGGAAGUUCUGGGGGAGUAUUUGUGACAAGAGGGCAAGGAUGCUUCUGCAUCAAUUUAGUGUUAGUCAAUCAUGUCUAUGCUUUGGCCCUUCUCAUUCCACUUUCCACUACUACAAAAAUGUAUCUGCAAUUGAUCAUGUAAAAGUGUUUCAAUUUUCUGUCUUAGGUUCAUCUCAGUUAGUUAGUCUUAAGAGUAAGGGAGAUAAUUCAUUUUUCUUGUUUCAGCUAGAUGUUACCCUCCAUGUCCUGAUUUUUAAUUUGGCUUCCUAAGUGUGCUCUAGGUUCUGUUGGUGCAUUCAUCAGUAUGUUAAUCUACAGGUGAAUCUAUAGUUAUAACAUAGUAAGAAGAAUGGAAGUUCUUGGGGAGUUUGUGUGACAAGAGGGCAAGGAUGCUUCUGCAUUAAUUUAGUAUCAGUGUCAACCAUGUUUAUGCUUUGGCCAUUCUCAUUUCCACUUUCCACUACUCCAAAAAUGUAUUAUCUGCAAUUGAUCAGGUGAAAGUGUUUCAAUUUUCUGUCUUUGGUUCAUCUCAGUUAGUUAGUCUUAAGAGUAAGGGAGAUAAUUCGUUUUUCUUGUUUCAGCUAGAUAUUACUCUCCAUGUCUUGAUUUUUAGUUUUUUAGGGGUGCUUGGUUGGUUUGAAUGCAGGAAACUUUUGCUGGUACACGAUUCAAACAGCUUUCCAUGUCAGGUUUUUCUAUUAUUUUUCUUUAAUAUUUUGGAACAUGUGUAAUUUCUGUAUAUAUUAUUCUUGCCGUUUUCCUUUUUCAUCAUUUAUUUUGAUUUUGGAGAGGGUCUCUUGGUAACUUGACUUUUCUUUUAGUUUUGACUGUUAUCUAAUUGAACUAUUUGAUUAUCAAAUAAUUGUGUUACUUUUUGUUCUAGAUGUUUAUAUUCAUUUUUCCCACUCUUUUAGUUUUGUUAAUGUGUGACAGUCUUUGUUUUUCAUUGAACUAUUGUGUGGCAGUCUUUAUUUAUUGGUUAUCUUUAGUUUCACUAUUGUUCUUUCUUUAAUGUUUUUCUUAGUUUUUAAUAAGUGUGACAAAAUAUGAAUUUAUCUUUUUCUUUGAACAAAUGUGGAAUUUAUUUUUCUUUUAAUGUAGUUGUGUCCCCAAUAAAUUUAUUUUGGCGAUUUAACAAUCCAUAAUGUUGUUUUUCAUUUUUCUGCUGUAUUUUCUUUGGUUCGUUGUUGUGCGAUGUCUAUUUUUGAGACAUUUUUAAUUUAGUUUUAUUUCUUUUAGCUUCCUGCAUCAUAUUGUAUUAUGGAUUUUUUCGAAAAUUUGAGUUUGAUCUUGUUUUCUGGUCCACUGCUGUGCAGUUUUUUUUUAUGAGAUAUUUUUAUUUAGAUUUAUUAUCUUUUAGCUUGUUUUGCAUUUUGCAUUAUAGAUUAUUUUUUAAAAUUUUGAGGUUGUUUUUUUUCUUUGAUCUUUUGUUGCGGUGACAAUUUUAAUUUAGAUUUAUUAUCUUUUAGCUUGCUUGCAUUAUGGAUUGUUAUGAAAUUUUGAGAUGAUGCUUUAUUUUGUUUUUUGGUCCUUUGCUGUGAUGUCUCUCUAUAAGACAUUUUUAAUUUAGGUUUAAUAACUUUUAGCUAGCUUGCAUUGUGGAUUGUUAUGAAAUUUUGAGUUUCUGCUUUCUUUUGAGUUUUGGUGAUGCCUUUUUACGAGACAUUUUUAAUUUAGGUUAAUUUUUUAGGUUGCUUGCAUUUAUGGAUUGUUCUGAAAUUUUGACUUUCUGCUUUUGUUUUUUAUGUCAUUUGUUGUGUGAUAUUCUCUUUAUAAGAUAGAGAUAUUUUUAAUUUAGGUUUACUAUUUUUUAGCCUGCUUGCAUUUGGUAUCAUAUAUGAAUUGUUCUGAAUUUUGAGUUUCUUCUUUUUCAGUCAUUUGUUUGCGAUAACUUUUUAUAAGACAGACAUUAAGAUUUAUUAUUUUUGGACUUGUUUGUAUUUUGUAUCACGGAUUGUGGUUUUUUAAAUUCAGAGGAGGAACUAGAAAUUGUUCUUGUGAUAUGUUAAAAUCUAGUUUACUGCAAAGAAUGAAUUCUAAAACAGAGGGUAUGAAUUCGUCAAUAAUUUUUCUCCAUUUCUGCGUUGAGCAAUGUUUAGCUGAUAUGUUUGUGUAUUCUUUACAUUAGUGCAGCACCACAUGCUAAUUUAGGUGUGAAAUGCUAAUUUAGAUGUGAAACACUUCCAAAGAUGACGAGAAAUCAAAGAUUGUCGUAGUAAAAAACCUCACCAGUUUUUCCUUUCAGGUUUUUCUUUUCUUUUUCUUUAAUAGUUUGGAAUUUUGCUGGUGUGAUUUCUGCUUUUCUCUUAUCAUUUAUUUUGAUUUUGGAGAGCAACUUUGGUAAUGUUAAGGUGAUUUAAGAAAAGUUGGUUGUCCAAGAAUCAAUAUUUUUAUAUUACCUUAAAUCUUCCUAAGACAUGUUGGGUCUUUCUUUGGCCUUUGUUAGUGUCUUCUAUUAAGUCUGUUAGUUUCACUUUAGUUGGGUCUUUUUUUAAUUUUAUUUUAUCUUUUAAAUUCCAAAUCCUACUCAUUUGGUCAUGACGAUUGAAUAAUCAUUGUUAAAUUUAUUUCUUGUUGGGAGUGUAGAUUUUAUUUUCUUUUUGGCCUUUGUUAUUUGCAUCUAUACAGGGGUUCGAAAAAUUCAAACCCUUCCCUCUUUUAUUCGACAUUCUUUUAUUUUUAUUAUGUACUAUUGGAUUGUUAAAAAAAUUGUGUUACUAUUUCUUACAUUCCAUAAAGAACCCUUUCUGAUGGAUUAUUUCUUAUUGAACUGUUUUAAAAUUUUGAGUUUCUUCUUUUUCUUUUUUGGGUCCAUUGUUGGGGGAUGUACAUCUUUAAUUUUUUUUUUUUUUUAUAAGAGAUGAUACAUCUUUAAUUUAGAUUUAUUAUCGUUAGCUUGUUUUGCAUUUUGUAUUAUGUUUUUUGAAAUUUUGAGUUUCUUCUUUUUCUUUCUUUGGUCAUGUGUUGUGCGAUGUUAUUUGCAUUAGGGGUGUUUGGUUGGUUGUUUUUUAGGGGUGUUUUGGUUAGUUAGGCUUAAGAAGCAAGGGCUAGUGAAAGAGAAGCAUUUGAUUGUCCUACAAGUAAUAAGCUUCUCCUCAAUCAUUCAACCAUUUUUUUAGUAAAGAAAGAGGCUUCUCCUUUGGCAACCAAAGUCCGUCCUUGGUCAAUAUAUAUCAAAAUAAAUAAGAUCCAUCUUUGGUAAUUUUUUAAAAAAUUAAAUCUAUAAAUACUCAUUUCAUCUCUAAAAUUAUGUGAUUUGUACUUUCUAAAAUUCCCUCGAUGGUACUAAUACACUCUUAUAUUUGUAUUGUAAUUAUCAUGUCCUUUUUCUAUGGUUUUUUAAAGUUAAUUUAGAUCCUUAUUCGCUCUAGGUAUAAGUUGAAUGGAAGAGUUUUUUAGCCUUGAUAGAUCUUGAGUACCUGAAUCGCCGAUGAAACAGAGGUUAUUUUCUCGGAAAUUCCACGAAUUGUUCAGGUUUGGAUUCUGUAAUUCUGUUGUUCUUUUUUUAUUUUGGAGAGUGUCCUGGGUAAUUUUGAGGAUAUUAUUUUUUGUUUUUUUUCGGCUUGCAUUUAAUCACGCGCGUUGGGGAAUAGACAGGCUUCGGAGAAUGAAUCACCUUUUUAAGGUUUCGCUGGGGAGCGAAUUGGCCAUAAGGCAUCCCUUUCUGUUCAGUCUCUCUCUUGCCUUUUUCAUACUAUAUGGUUGUUGAUAUGGGGUUAUUGAAUGAUUGUUGCUUUUAUUUUCAUAAGAAGUGAUCUUAUAUUUUUGUCUCUCUGUGCAACUUUAAUAUGAGGUUAUUAAGGAAGGAGAUAAAGGAGGAAGAAGGGACGGAGAAAAGGAAGAAAUGACUGGAUUGUUGGGAUGGGUAUGAAGAUGCAGUAGAGCCACCACCUAGGGGCUGUAAGGUCUAAUGGGCAAAUUGAAAGUAAAAAAGAGUGCAUCCAUUCAAGCUAAGAGAGCUUGGGUUCCUAAAUUACUAUUGCUCUGGGUUCUGUUGGUGGCAUUGAUUGGUAUUGUUAAUCUACAAGGGAAUUGAUGGUGUUAACUAAGUUAGAAGAAAGGAAGUUUUGGGCGUAUGUGUGACCGGAGCACAAAGAUGCUUCUGCAUCAAUUUACUGUGAGUGUUAAACUAUGUCCAUGCUUUGGUUAUUCUAUUUUCUACUUUCCACUCCUCUCGAAAUGUAUUAGCAAUUGUUCAUGUAAAUGUGUUUCGAUUUCUGUUUGAUACUUCUCAGUUAGUUAGGCUUAAAAGUAUAGAAAUUAUCUUGAUGUCUUGAUUUUUAGGGUUUUUUUCAGCGGUUUUUGGUUUUUGGUUUUUUUUUUGUUGGAUUUUGGCUAGUUAGGCUUAGAGGUGCAAGGACUUGUGAAAGAGAAGCAUUUGAUUGACCAACGAGUAAUUAGUUUCUCCUCAAGCAUCCCACCACUUUUCUAUUAAAGAAAUACAGGUACGUCUACGCUAUUACUUUUCAUGUCCUUUUACUUAAGAUAUUUAUAUAAAUAUAUAUAAAAAUAAAUAAGAUCCAUCUUUGGUAAUUUUUUUAAAAAUCAAAUCUGUGAAUAUUCAUUUCAUCUCUAAAGUUUUGCGUUUUGUUACUUUUUAAAAUUCCCUCCAUGUUACUAUUACACUCCUAUAUUUGUGUUGUAAUUAUGAUGUCCUUUUUCUAUGGUCUGUUAAAGUUAAUUUAAAUCCUUUCUUGCUCUUGGUUUAUGUUGAAGAAAUGGAAGAGUUUUUUAGCCUUAAUAGAUCUGGAGUACCUUAAUCGCUCUUGCAUUUUGUGAUUCUGUUCUUUUUCUAUUUUGAAGAGUGUCCUGAGUAAUUUUUAGGAUUUUUAUUUUAUAGUUUUUGUCGCUUGCAUUUAAACACGGACUUGGUUGUUGAACUGGGGUUCUUGAAUAAUUGUUGGUUUUGUUUUCUGAAGAAGUGAUCUUAUAUUUGUGUAUCUCUAUGUGCAACUUUAAUAUGGGGUUAUUAAGGAUGGAGAUAAAGGAGGAAGAAUGGAGAGAGAAAAGGCAGAAAUGACUUAAUUGUUGGGAUGAGUAUGACCCCAUGUCUAGUAGUUCCCAAGUAUGAUAUAGGAAGGCAGAGAGUCAAGGCCUUGUCUGACUCUAAUAGAAUUAAGUAGCUAACGCAACACAAUAUUCUUUGCACCUUCAGUCUGUGAAUCUGAGGAGCAAGAGUUUGGCCAGAGGAGCUAGUCUCGUAACUACGGGCGCAGUUCUAGUUCUUUACAAGACAGAUGGGAACUGUAGCUAACAAGUGUGCCCUGAGUGGAUUCCUACCACUACUCUUUCUACUAUAUUGGCAGGACGGGUGCCAAGUUAUUAGUAGCUAGGCAGCUAAGCCAGUAGUAGUUCAGUUCAGGUGCUGUUCCCAAACCUAGUUGACUACGUUGUAGCGUAGCGGUACGGGACAGAAAAAGAAUUGAUAGCGGUACACUGAACACAAAGAAAUUUGAUAGACAUAUGUUGAGAGUUCGACAAGUAGCACUGAAUCUACUAUCAGUAGUGAUUUAUAGAAGUUGACUCGCUUAAACGAAGAGAGUGAACAAAGCAUAGCGGAGUGAAGAGAGAAAUGGUUUCAUUAGAUAGCUCUCUCGAUGUCCUUGUUAUCUUUCCUAGGUAGAUUGUGACUUAUUCAUUCUUUCUCGCUGACUCUAGUUUCCCCGCCGUGGAUCCUUUCUCUGUUAGGCGCUGUAAUUUAGAAUUCAGAAACGUAUCUGUCUUAUUAUCUUUGAGUCAAAGCAAUGUUACAUAUUUAUAUAGAUAAUAAGCUAAACCCUAGAGACUAUGUAAAAUUACAAUAAAGGACAUAUGUAUAUAUAUAUAUAUAUCAUAACACUCCCCCUCAAGUUGGAGCAAAUAUGUCGAUCAUGCCCAACUUGUUGCACAGAUAGCUUAUCCUUGUUCCAUUUAAAGCUUUAGUUAGAAUAUCUCUCAAUUGUUCUCCGGUCUUCACAUAUCCUGUGGACACCAACCCAUCUUGGAUUUUCUCACGAAUGAAGUGACAAUCCACCUCAAUAUGUUUAGUUCGUUCAUGAAAUACUGGAUUAGAUGCAAUAUGAAGUGCAGCUUGAUUAUCACACCAUAAUUUAGCUGGCACGGUAAUACUGAAGCCUAUCUCAGAUAAUAGUUGGUGAAUCCAUACUAUUUCACACACAGAUUGUGCCAUAGCUCUAUAUUCUGACUCAGCACUCGAACGAGAAACAACAUUUUGUUUCUUACUCUUCCAUGAAACUAAGUUUCCACCUACAAAAACACAAUAUCCAGAAGUCGAUCUCCUAUCCUCACGAGACCCCGCCCAAUCAGCAUCAGAAAAACAUUCAACUCUCGUAUGUCCAUGAUCUUUGUAUAGGAUCCCACGUCCAGGAGCAGCUUUUAGAUAACACAAAAUCUGCUCUACUGCAGCCCAAUGAUCCACUGUAGGGGAAGACAUGAAUUGACUUACAACACUUACAGAAUAUGCAAUGUCUGGUCGAGUCACUGUUAAGUAGUUCAACUUCCCAACUAAUCUCCUAUAUCUCUCAGGAUCUUUACAUAAUUCUCCUUCUUUAACAAGUUGCUGAUUUGGCAUCAUUGGAGUGCCACUUGGUUUGGUGCCUAAUUUUCCUGUUUCAGACAACAAAUCAAGUACAUAUUUUCGUUGAGACAAAUAAAUACCUUUCUUGCUUCUCAUCACUUCAAUGCCCAAAAAAUAUUUCAAUUGGCCCAAAUCUUUUGUAUAAAACUGACCCUGAAGGAAAGUUUUGAGAGACGAAAUACCCAAUGCAUCAUUUCCAGUAAUAACAAUAUCAUCAACAUAUACAACUAGUAGAACUAUACCCUUCUCAGAUCGGCGAUAGAAAACUGAAUGAUCAGAUGUACUCUUCUUCAUACCAAAGCAUACAAGGGCUUGACUAAACUUACCAAACCACGCACGAGGACUCUGUUUCAAACCAUACAGAGAUUUUCGAAGGCGACAUACUUUAUCACUCUCCCCCUGAGCAACAAACCCUGGUGGUUGUUCCAUAUAAACUUCCUCUUGAAGAUCACCGUGAAGAAAAGCAUUCUUAAUGUCAAGUUGAUGCAACGACCAUUUAUUGGUAGCAGCCAUGGAAAGAAAUAGGCGAAUGGAAGUUAACUUGGCAACCGGAGAGAAUGUAUCUGAAUAAUCAGUGCCAUAGAUUUGAGCAUAACCUUUGGCAACAAGGCGAGCCUUUAAACGAGCCACUGUUCCAUCAGGAUUCAUCUUGACAGCAAACACCCAUUUACAACCAAUGGCCUUCUUUCCUGCAGGACGAGAUACCAAAUCCCAAGUAUCAUUAUCAUCUAAAGCAGUCAUCUCCUCAAUCAUUGCAUUUUGCCAGCGAGGAUGAGACAAAGCUUCAUGAACAGAGUUAGGAAUAGAUGUGGACUCAAGAGACGUAAUAAACGCAUAUGUGGAGGGAGAUAACUGGUGAUAGGAAAUAAAGGAAGAAACGGGGUAAGUACACUUGCGUUUACCUUUGCGAAGAGCAAUGGGAAGAUCAUCACUUGGCGCUGGAUCACAUGAUGAAGGAAGCAUUGAUGGAGGACAUGAGUCUGAAGGUUGUGGUGGAGGUCGUCGGGAGUAGACUUGAGAAAUCAACGGGCGGGAAGGAGGCACAUCAGUAGACAAGGAUGGUGUGGGAGAGGUAACCUCAUAUAUAAAAAGAUUGUCAUCCUCCCCCUGACACAAACUCGAUGGUGAUGAAGUAAAGGGUGUAUCUUCAAAAAAGACAACAUCAGGCGAAACCAGAUACCUUUUAAGGGUAGGACAAUAACAACGAUAACCCUUUUGAACACGUGAAUAACCCAAGAAGAUACACUUCAAGGAUUUGGGAUCUAACUUAGUAUGAUGAGGACGAACGUCACGAACAAAAGACACAACCAAAUAUCUUAGGAGCAAUAGGAAACAAAUGCUUGGUAGGAAAAAGAACACGAUAGGGAAUCUCACCAUUAAGAACAGAGGAAGACAUUCUAUUAAUCAAAAAACAAGCUGUAGAGACAGCAUCAACCCAAAAGAUUUUUGAAACAUGCAUUUGAAACGAUAAAGCACGGGCAGUUUCAAGUAAAUGCCUAUUUUUUCGCGCAACACCAUUUUGAGAUGGAGUGUCAGCACAGGAAGAUUGAUGAAUAAUGCCAUUUUCACACAAGUAAGAGCCAAGAGAAUGAGAAAAAUAUUCACCCGCAUUAUCAGUACGCAAAGUUUUGAUAGAGACAUUAAAUUGGUUUUUUAUUUCAGUAUGAAAGGCACAAAAAUGAGAUAAUAACUCAGAACGAUUUUUCAUUAAAUAUAACCAAGUUAGACGAGAAUGAUCGUCAACAAAAGUAACAAAAUAACGAAAGCCUGUUUGAGAUACAACUGGACACGGACCCCAAAUAUCAGAAUGAACUAACUCAAAUGGAGCAAUUGCUCGUUUAUCGACUCGAGGACUCGAACUAAGACGAUGAAAUUUCGCAAAUUGACACGAAUCACAAUUUAAAGAGGACAAAGACCUAAAUUCUGGAUAAAGUUUCUUCAACACGAACAAAGAUGGAUGACCUAAACGACAAUGGACUUCAAAAGGAGAGGGAACGACAGGACACGCCACAGCUUGCGAUACUUGAUGAUCAAAGAGAUAAAGGCCUCCUGACUCAUAUCCUCUACCAAUAAUCUUCUUCGUCACACGAUCCUGAAACAAGCAAUAACCAGAAAAGAACAUGACAACACAAUUUAGGUCAUGAGUAAGUUGACUAGUAGAAAUUAAAUUAAAGGAUAAGUUAGGCAAAUGUAACACAGAAGAGAGAAAAUGAUGGGGUAAGGUGAAUAGUGCCAGAGCCAAGAACAGAAGAUGUGGAGCCAUCGGCCAAUGUAACCGAUGGAAAAGGGGCAGGGGACAACGGUCUAGAAAAUAGGUGAGAAUUACCUGUCAUAUGAGCUGUGGCACCAGAGUCUAUGACCCAUUUGGUAGAUGAUGUAAGAAGACACUUUAUAUUACCUGGGGCAACAGUGGAUGCAAUCGGAGUAGAGGAAGAUGACGCUUGUAAUGACUCUUGGUAAUUCUGAAACUUAGCAAACUCAUCUGCCGAAAUAGUAACUGACGCCUCUGGUAUAUCACAUGUGGAGGCUAUCUGAGCAUGUUGAGAUCGUUGACUAUUCUUAUAUAGCAAUUUCCGACAAUCACGUUUCAUAUGGCCUGGCUUACGACAGUAGUUACAAACAAUCUCUACAGACUCUGGUUUUCGAUGAUCAGUACUAUUCCUCUGAGGUGCCCGAGGGUUAUUGUUCUUGCUAAAGAGAGCACUACUGGGUUGAGGAAUAGACACACUAGUCGGAGAGCUUUCAAUGCGAAGGACUCGAGUGAAGGCAUCAUCUAAUGAUGGAAUCUUGGAGUCAGAGAGAAUCUGUGUCUUUGCCAUUCCAAAUUCAGGUAAGAGUCCAUUCAGGAAAAUCAUAACAGCCAUCUUCUCUCGUUGAACUUGUUGAACUUUAACAUCAGGACUAAAAGGUAACAACAAGCCAACUCGGCAAUGAUCUUCUUAAGACGCAUAAAGUAGCUGGUGACAGACUCAGCUUUCUGUUCCGCACGAGAAAAUUGCAUACAAACUUCAAACAUUCUAUGCACUUGCUCUUUACCUGAGUAUAGAAAAUCCAAAAAUUCCAAAAGUUCUUUAACAGACUCACAGUGAUCAACCAAUCCAAUUAUCUCACUCUCAAUUGAAUUCUUGAUCUGAAGAUAUAAACGGGCAUCAUCACGAAGCCAAUCCUUCUUCUGCUUUGCAUCUUUUGGGGGAUCUUCAGUCAUAUGAUCAUCCAUAUCAGUACUUCUCAAAUAAAAUAAAAUUGUCCGACGCCAAUCGUAAUAAUUGGAUCCAUUUAACUUAUGUUCUGUGAUCUUAGAGGCCAAGGGAAUAACGUUGGAGACUACCAAAUUUUUUAUGUCGGCCAUAUUGAAGUCACACGUUGAUUGUAGUCCACUCGAACAAAGAGAAAAUCAAUCCAAACAGCUGCAAAAUUGGAAAAAGACACAAAACCAAUCGUGUAACCUUCGGUUUUCGUCAAACCCGAAUGUUAUUUGAUAGACCCAAUGGUACAGACUGGCAGGAAACAAUGGUUCGAGACAAGCCCAGAAGACAGAAGACAAAUCGGACUUCUCACGCGCUCUCACGCGCCUGUGUGGAUGAAGGUGACGAUGAUUCCGGCGGCGCGUGACGGUCACGCGCGGUGUUUUCCGGCGAUCGGCGAAGACAGACUUGGGCGGACGGAGGUGGUGCUUCUUAUGGUAUGGGCGGUGUCGACAAAUGGUCACCGGAAGGUAACCCAAACUUCAAACCUAAUGGAGGGCUCUGAUACCAUGUAAUUUAGAAUUCAGAAACGUAUCUGUCUUAUUAUUUGUUAAGUCAAAGCAAUGUUACAUAUUUAUAUAGAGAAUAAACUAAACCCUAGAGACUAUGUAAAAUUACAAUAAAGGACAUAUAUUACAUAAUAAUAUAUAUAUAUCAUAACAAGGGCCUCCCCUAUCCUUAUUCAUUGAUCGCUCUCUUUGCCGCGAAUCUCGGCAUGGUGGUUCUUCGCCUCGCAAUAUUCUUUGCUCCUCCUUCCUGGGCUUGAUUGGUACAUCAAGCAUAUCGGCAUUUUGCUUCUUCGGUGUGGUACAUAUAUCUAUCAAUGAAAAGAAAGUAAUAGAAUUCAUUCCCGCGUACUCGCAUAUUGAAUUGCGCCUUCGGACCAUCAAAGAAAGGUCCAGGGUCCGAAGUCCGCUGGAUUUAUCCGGAGUCCAGAGAAUUUAUCCGUAGGACCAUCCAUAUGGAGGGAAGUAGUCCGGAGGAUGUUGGAAUUUUUUGUCCUAAAACUCGUAGUUUAUAAAUCAUAUUCUGUUCAAUAAAGUUGUUAUUGAGAAAUUAAAUAUUAUAAUCUUAAAUCCAAUAAAUCAAGUUCCAAGGCUAUUUUUGAAUAAACUUGAACUUUAUGUGUAAACAUAAACGUGGAUCAAGUUCGAGUAUAUAGCCUAAAUAGUCUAUAGUAUAUGAAAUAAAGGUUGGGUGCCUUAUUUAGGGAAACUAUGGAUGCGGUCCACUUUGUGGUACAAACGAGGUGAUCCUAAUCGUUCAUGUAGAGACAUGAAAGUGAGGGCAUUCUAUGUAAAAUGUUUACAUAAGACUGAACCAUGAAUUAGUUUUUUUUACGUUAUAACACCGUUUACUGUUUAAAACUGACUAUCUCAACAUUUUGACUUUUUACUAAGAAAAGUCAAAGUUUGACUUUUGACUAGAAAUAUCUAAUGACCAUUUUACCCUUGGACUAAGUUAGUGGGAAAAUCCAACAUUUUGUUGGAUAAUCCCACUAACUCUUAGUGGGAUAUGUGGCUAUAUGAGAUAUAGACACCUAGCCCACUAAGUUCCACUAAUUGUUAGUGGAACAUUUGGUGUUGAGAUUUGGCAAAAUGAAUUGCAUGCAUUUUUGCAUGUAAUUAGGUUAUAAAUAGAGGUGUUUUCAAAUGUUGAAGAACUUUUGCCUCUUUUAUCAUUUUCAUCAUCUCAACCAAAUAAAAAAAAAGGAAACCUUCCAAUCCCAUUUUAUCUCCAUUACUUUCUACACCAAAAUUGGGUCCCACAACCCGGUUCUUUGUCUAGAGGAUAGCAGUUGAGUACUAGUGGUGGUCUCGGUUAGAAUUGGUAAGAAGAUAUCAAACCUUUUGAAAGCUUCAAAGGUAAUAUUUCCUAAAACCCUAAUUUGAUUAAUUUAUGGUUACAUGUUAAUUGUGGCAAUUAGGGUAGAAAUUCGAUUUUUUUUCCGCUGUGCAUGACUUAGUUCUAUCAGAGGAUUUAUUCGUAGGACCAUCCGUAAUUAACAGAAAUAGGACUAUCCAUUAUCCUCCGUCCGGAGUCCGCAGGAUACUUAUCCGUAGGACUAUCCGUAAUUAACCGAAGUAGUCCUCCAGAAUUUCUGUAAUUAACCGAACUUUGCACCUCUUGACUAUGAAUCAUAUAUAUUGAUUUUGACCGGAGCAAAGAUCAUUGCCCACGGAGCGGCGCAAAGAAUAUUGCGACCUGUGGAUUCAUUGAGGCGGUGAAGAAUUGCCAUUUUAUGAGCUUGUAAAACCCCUCCGGAGGAGAAGGAUAGGGGAGCAAGGUUCAAAGUGGUUUUCAAAGUCAGAGCUAUCCCUUAUUAUUGAGGGCUUUGACCACCUGGACACUUACCUACUCAGUCGCAAGGAUCAAAGAAUUUGAUUGACAAAGAAUAUUGCGAUUUUACCGAGUCCUUCGUCUCGCAAUAUUCUUUGCGCCUUCGAUGAGUCAGGUUAAUAUGGAUAAGUCCUUCGGACUGAUAGCGUCCAAAAAAUAGGCGAGGGCGGGCGGGCUAUAAGUAGGCCGUUUGCUAUUGCUAUAAGGGCUGCUCGCCUUUAUACGGCUUGGCUUCGCUAUCGCUCAUGACUUGUAUUUGUGGUCGGCCUAAAAAGUAGUCUUCCU